rnacentral:lncRNA from 1 species
CAUGUAUCGACGGGUCAUCUCUCGAGAGACAAUAGAUUCUCUGAUAGGGUUGAAUUUGAAUUGGUUUAAAUCGUAGGGAGGCUGAGAGGCGGAGGCAGAGAUGGUGAGGGACGUGGCGGCGGUGGAUUUGAGGCGGAGAGAAGAAGGAGAGGCGAGAGGUGUGCCAUGGAAAGAGGAAUCAUGAAGUAAAGAAGGUUUUUGGAGCUUGGUGGUGAGAGUGGAGGCAAUGGAAGCCAUUUUUGAAGCAGAGGAAAACAGAGGAGAUUGUAGUUUGGUGUGGGGAAGAAGAGGGGAAGGAAGAAGGGUUUUAUAGAGGAUAUUGAAGAAUGUAACAAUAUCUUACACGCUUGCAUGUAUGAUGCAUACAUUACCUAUGCAUGUAUUUCAAACAUUGAUGCAUAUAAUCGAGAUUUUCAUUUAUCCAUGUAUUUCUCUUUUUACUUUUUUUAACAUAUGAUAUAUUAAACAUAGGUUUAGCAAUAAGUAACUAAAAUUAGUGUUAUUGUAAUAAAAUUACAUUAAUUUUGAUCAUAUUUACUUACACAUUUUACAAAUGUCUUAUCCAAAUAGUUCACUUUAUGUUGUCUUCUUACUAUUGCUCUUAUUAUCAAGGGUCAACAUAUUUAUAAUUCUCUUCUUCUAAUAGUAACACCAUAAUAUCCCCUAAUGAGUUGCAUGUAAUUUCAAAUGCAUUUAGAGAUUGGUCAUCUUAUCUCUAUAAUUAGAUUGCAUUACAAAUUUGUUUGUGAGGACACCAUUUUUUCUACAAUUACAGAAUAAAUGUAAACAACAAACCUAAUUAAAUGAGACACCCUUUUCAAAUUCUCGUUUGAUUGGUUACAUUUUCCGAGUGUAUAGUCACUCUAAUUUUAUACUGUUGCAACCAAUCCAAAACCAAAUCAAAUUAAUUGACUUUAUUAAAUAGAGAACCAAAGAUGCCCAAUAGAAGAUAGAAUCUUUUUUUUUUUUUUUUUUUUUUUUUGGGUUUCUAACCAAUGGAGUCUUCUUUUCUUUCAACUUUUACUUUGAAUGGGUUACCUUUUUUUACCAUUUUUAUAGAUAAUUAUGAAAAAAGAAGUAUCCAUUGGCAUAAUAUUUGAGUUUAUUAUCACUACAGUUUUCAAGCGAUACGCUUUCUAUCCAAAUUGAAAUGGUUGGAUUUUGAUUGAUUUCUUGAUAAAAGUUCAAACCAAAAGAAUAAACUUUUUUAUUAUCUCUAAAUAAUAAAAAAAAAAAAACCCCAAUCAAAACAAGAAAUGAACUUGAUUGAAUUUGAAUUUGUUUUGUUUUUAUUUUCUUGAACUCGAGUGUAAGGAGUAUCCAAAAAUUAGGGUAAGAAAAGUUCAAAUAUUUGUUAAGUUGGGAAGAGAGAAAAUAUCUGGAAGGGGACACGUGGGAAGAAGAUAGGAAAUGAAGGGCUGAGAAUGAGGUGAUGGUGUUGGACACGCGGCAUCCAUGGCAGCCAUUUGUUAUUUCUUUUCUUUUUCUUUUGCCAAAAUGAGAUUUUUUUUUUUCUUUUUCCCAAUAAUAUGAUAUGUUUGUUGAUUUGCAAAAUAUGGAUUUGUGAUUGUGAAUCAUGAUAUGUCCGUUUCUUUCGUCAAGAUAUUUCACAUAAUCUUGUAAAAGAAAGAGAUGUUUAUAUAUAGGCCACUCAUUUUGCUUUUUACUCUUUAAACCAUUGCUACACAUUUUAAUGCGUCUUUUCAAAUAAUAAUAUUUAUGUUUAUUAAUCAUUGAUAUUUUUUUGUAUCUACUUUAAACAAGAUUAAGUAUAGAGAAAAUACAUUUACAUAAGGAAAUAUUUACAAAUUAGGAUCUAAAUGUAUUCUAUUUCCCUAAUUUAAACAACUAUAUAAUUUACGAUCACACUCUUUCUCAAACUCAAGGCGGUAAUGUAGCAAUCAACUUGAGUUUGUUAACCAAUUGAAGAAAAUGGCUAGAAGCCAAAGCUUUAAUGAAGAUAUCAACUGGUUGUUCAGUGUCGAAAUGGAGUGUAAGAGAAGAUUGGUGCUUCGAAGAUUAUGACAAACAAAAUGAUAAUCGUUUUUAAUAUGGUGGGUACUCUCGUGGAAGACAUCAUUGUGAACAAUAUGCAUGGUAUUAUAAUUAUGUCUUUAUACCCUUCUCUCGGCUCAAGCCUUUACCACACUCUUUUGUCAAGUUGCAGUUGUGCAGAGAAAUCUCAACGCACUUAGUAGUUACUAUGAAUUUCACUACGCAUAAUGUGUCUUCCAAUGCUAGAUCACAUAAAACGCAAAGGGUAUUCUAUACCAAAUCACAUAGUAGGUAUGAGAGACAUUUCAUACUAGAUCACACAACAAGUAUGAGUCAUCCUAUUCAAUAUCACACAAUAUGAAUAGGGCAUUAUACUCCAGAUCACACACUAGAAAUAGGGCAUCUCAUCUUAGAUCACACAGCAAGGACAAAACAUUCUAUCGCAUAGGGUACAAAAAUUAUCUUUUUCUAGGAAACAUUGAUUUCUCAUUUUCAUGUAAUACUAGCAUCAUCAAUAGCACAUGCCACAUAGUUUAACGUAAUUGCCUUAAAGGGACUUAAAGAGAUUGUUUUCAAGCAUUUCUUUUCAUUUGAAGGUUAUUCGAUAAGAUACUUUAUUAUGUACUCAAUCACCUUUUAUUAGUUUCAUAAUGAACCAAAUUCAUACAUAAGUCACACAUGUUUAUGGGAGUUGAAAAAGUAUAAGGAAAUCCAUGUAAACAAAUUUGUAAUAACGAUAGUUUUAAGGGUUCAAACAUAUUAGAAAUCCCUUUAUAUAUUUGAAAACAUUUGCAAGGGAGGAAAACCACUCACUGCUGCAGUGAGCUAGCUCUUCCUUCUAGCUUCCUUGACCAAGAGUUCUCCUGUGCUUUUCAGAUUCCUUGAAGGAAUGAGUUUUUCCUGCACCUUGAGACUUUGGUUAUCCUCCCCGUUCUCUCUUAAGAAACUUAAGGUAAAAACGUCUUCAGUUCGGUCUAAAAUCCUCAAUUUAUAUGUCUCUCUGGUGAAUUUUUUCAUGUCGAAAUGAUUACGCUUUACCGACGGUGAGGAGUGGCCUAAUCUCGAAAUGCCAUGUAUCUCUGUCCAAUCCUUAUCCUGAUCUAGAUUGGGUGGCGAGUCCAAUCAAUCAUCGACCUACUAACAUUAGGGUCACAUCACUGUUUCUUGAUGAGGUAGGUCAGAAUUGUCCAACUGUUCGACGCAUAACCUUCUUUGCAUGGGGACUUUCUAUUGCAUGAUCCUUUAGCGAGGCAUGGUUUACUAUCAGAAGUCUCUUUGCAAAACAUUCUUACCGCAAGGGAUUCCUUGUAUUGGGGGUACGCAAUCAGGGCCUUACACGCGAUUAGACAUUUUCCUUUAAAACACUAACCUUAUCUUCUUGGAGUGCUCAAUUCUUUAUCGCUUGACUCUCUUCUCGAAAAACAAUAGAACAUUUACUUUACCUCAUACGGUUGUCUAGUCAUCUCAUACAAACAUCCAUCCUUUCAAUAGAACACCUACUUCAUCGCAACAACACUUAGGUGCAAACACUUCUCCUCGAGUUACUACAUAGGACAUCUAGUUCUUUGCGUUAAAUGCAUGUUUCUUCUUUCCUAGCUAAUCAUCGCCUUGCUUCAAGGCAAUAGUUACUAUAAGUAUCUCUCGUUGUGUCACCUCUCCUUAAAGGCACCCUUCAUCGCAUAAUGCUUUUUACUUACAUUUAACUAAAAUGACUCUUAUUAACAGGGCUCCUCUUCAACAUGACUCACUUUCUCCAGAUUAGAGCCUCAAGUGGACUAUUGAGGUACUCUCAUAUCCGUAAGGAUCCAUGGAAGUCAUGAUAGUUAUAAAGUAGCAUUAGCAGAAGCCCAAUAUUAUGAUUUAGUGCUGGAAAAGAAGACAACAUUUUGCUUUUUACCCUACCAUGAUAUUAUGGGAUUACUUAAAUAGAAGGAAUAAAUGAUGGUGGAGUGUCGAUCAUUAGGAUCAUCAACCCAAUCAACAUCAAAGUACCCAGAUAACACCAGAGGUGUCGAGAAGAGAAAUGAAAUCUAUGUCUCAAAGUACCUUUGAGGUAGUGAAAAAUGUUCCAUCAACUUACUAACAAUGUGCACAACAUAUGCAACGUUAGGACGAAUCACUAUCAGAUAAAUGAGGAUGCCAAUAAGUUGCCUCUAAAGAUUGAUAUCAUCAAGAGGAAUACCCUCUUACGGUGUCAAGUGGACAUUGGGAUCAAGAAGUGUUGGUGUCUUGAUGGAGUAAAUGAUACGGAGCAGGCUAAUAGAUCAGAGACAUUUGGCUUGAGAAAACAAGUAACCAUCAAGACAUGUUGAUACCUCAAAAACAAGAAAGUAAUUAAGAGAGUUUAAGUCUUUCAUUUGAAUAACUAAGAUCAUGAUAUCUACCGUUGCAACACUAAGAUAGCCCGAGGAUCAUCACCACUGAUAAUCUUGUCCAAUACCAUGAAGAAAAAUUAGAGAAUUUAUGACGGAAGAGUUUACAAGUUUUUUUUUACAAAAUGUAGUUCCAAAUUAUUGUAUGAAUAAGUGCUUGCGAAAAGAACUUCUAAUUUUUUGGAGGGAAAGCCGUUUUCUUCAAAUAAGAUGUCUUGAAACUUGUGGUUUGUUAACAACAAACAUAUUAUAUUUACAUAGUAAAGUUUUUAAAAGGUUAUUAAAUAAAAUUGUUAUUGAACAUGAAUGAAUUGCUUAUUUCAUAAUAGAAAACCAUAAAUCUAAUAAACUAAGAUCUAUGGUUAUGAGUACGAGUACUUGAACUUUAUGUAAUAAUGUAAGAAACUCCCAAUGAAGUGAGAACUAUGUUGGGUGUUGGCCUCAUCUUCUAACGGGAGAAGUCGUCCAGAAAUGGAUUGUGAAAUUUGUGAUGGAGACAACUCCCAAUGAGCCAAAGGAUGCCAUUGGGAACUCGUCCCAACCCUCGACGACAUUCAUUAAUAAGGCGAAGAUGAUAUGAACUGAUUUUGGCUUGAUCCAGGUAGGUCCAAAAUGCUAGAUAUUUAUUAAUUGAUUAACUAGUUUCUUGAUUGAGUCUAAUGAGUACUGUGUAACUAAUAGUAAUAGUAAUGAACCAAUCCUAUAGAUUAAAAUCAAGUAGGUUUUGCAUGAAAAUCCCAUAAUUUUAUAACAUUAUCAAAAGCUUUGAGUUGAAAAUGGAUAGUAGGAAUAGAUAUGUUAUCAAUCCAAGUGAUAAUUUGGUGAUUCUUACUGUCUCAAUCUUUUCGUCAUUUAACAAACAUACUAUCAUCUUUCUUGUCCAAUGUAGUUUGUUUAGCAACAUCACCAAUGAAAAUUUUCCGUAGUCUAUGUUCAAUUAAAAAAAAUUCGUUUGAUGGGUUCAUGCAUUUAAGAUAAUUGGUCCCAUCAACAACAGUACUAAUAGAACAAAAAAUGUGAUUUUUUUCAUUAAGGACUGAACAUAAAUUAACCACCAAAAUACACAACAAGAUUGAAAACAAACAAAUCUAAGUUAAAUCACAACGAGCAGAGACUAAAGUGCCAAUGAUCAGAAUAGGUGCAGGACCAGUUAGAAGCUGGAAUGAGUAGACGUAGAAUAUGUUUAGAUAGUUAUGAUAUAUUAUUUAAUUUAAACACCAGGUGUUUGUGAUUAUAUUUAUUUUUUCACUGAAAAGACACCAUCAUAUGAUUGGAGAUAUUUUCUUUUCACUUAUAUACAAUCAAUUAAUGAAUGAAAAAUAUGGUGUUAAUUAACAAGGUAUUAGUUGUGAAGUAUUAAAUAAUGGUAAAAAUUGAAACAAAUUUGUUUUGUAUUUUGGUAGAAGAGAUAUUAUUAAAUUGAGAAGGGGUAUAUCUGCUAUCACAGUCAUGAAAAAGAGAGAAAUUAAAGUGGCGAUGGGUAGCUACAUCACAUCUCAACUUGCUCCCCUCCAUCCACUAUUUUUCGUCUUCUUUCUUCUUCGACGUGAGGAUGAACUAUCAUUGGAUUUAGAGGUGGUCCAUACAACUUCAAGAUUUUUUUGGUACCAAAAUCACUUUAUAAAUUAUAGUCUAAACCAUGUUACUCUACUUUUUUUUUUUUUUCUAACAUCUCCCUCCUUUCAACAAUAUUUUUAUUGUAUCUUACAAAAAUAUAGAAGAAUAAAAUAUCACUAAUCUACUUACAAUAUAAAUAUAAUAGACAAUAGAUAUGUAACGAAAUAUUUAUGGAGAAUUAUUGUCAAUUGCAAACGUUGUGAAAAUAUUUAGAAAGUUUAGCAAGAUCUAUAUGUGAGAUUUUUCUAUAUUUUUUAAGUAUUUUUAUUUAUUUUGCUAUAUUUGAAAUGAAUACAAGGUUUAUUUAGUGAUUUAAAUUAAAUUUUUUUAUUUUUAUAGUUUUUCUAGAAAUGUUCAACCAUAUAGACUAAAUUUAUGUAAAAUUAGCACUUUCAUAUUUUUGUAGAUAUCAACAUUUUAAUCCUUCAUUUUAAGCAUGAGAUUUAACUAAUCAUGUAUCUAUAUUUUAUUAUUUUAUGUUCUAUUUUAGAUUUGUACUCUCUUCUGCAUUUUCAAUAAAUCAUAAAUUAGUCCUAGUUUACUAUAGUAAAGCUAAUUUUUUUAAAAAAUAAUAUAGCAAAAAAAAAUUCUCUAACCAAUGCAAAAAAAUCCAAAAUAUCUAGCUUACUUCUCUCAACCAUGAUCAUUGUCAAUACCUAAUAGACAUUGAUAGUCUAUUAUUACUAUUUAUGAUAGUCUAUUACUCUAGAGUGUCUAUAACUGAAUAGUUGGUUGUUAAUAAGAAAGUUGAUGAUGAUUGUUCUUAAUCUUAUGCUCCUUAAUUUGGUUUUAAGGAAUUAGUUGUCAUUUAAUAUUUAUUGAAAAUAUAUAUUGUUAUUGGGAGAGAGCAAUUUUGAAAGUAUUCUCUAGACUUAAGCAUAUUAAUUUCUUCUUACUCGAAAAGAUAAAAGAAAACAUGUGUAUUUGAAUUAUCUUAAAAACAUUAAGAUCUAGGGAUUAAAAGAAUGCAAGAGCUUGCAUUGAUGGUGGUACACAUGUGUUCCCUACACCUCAAAAUCAACCAUCAUCUCAAGUAGCUCAAAAGGAAAUUAAAGGUCGAAGCUAUAGAGUAGCAAGAAGGAGCUGAGUAUUAAAUCAUUUUGGGUUGUAUAUAUACAUAAUAGAAAUCACUCCAACUCAAUUCAGAAGACGUUUGAAACCAAGAAUUUCUAACCUAAAUUUCAUUAGCUUAUUUGACAUCAUUAGUCCGCCAUCUAAAGUCAUGGCUUAUUCAUCUAUAAAUAUAAGCUACCUACAACUUUUGAGUUGUAUAACAAAAUUUUAAGAGAUUAAGGGAUCAAGUUUAGAGAUUAAAAUUGAAUAUUUUUUAAAGUUUAGAGACCAAACUAAAAUAAGAUUCAAAGUUCAAUAGGGGAAUAUCAAAUUUAAACCAAACUAAAUACGUUUUUUACAUACUGAUUUGUAUUUAUUUUUUAAAUAACCAAAACAUUUUCAUAGUGGGUUUGAUGUAAACCAAAUUGGAGAGUUUUACUAAUGUUUAAAAGUUGUUAAUAUAAGAAGAAAAGUACUCUAUUUAUAGCAAACUGUUAAAUGAAAAUUUUGAGUAAACAAGUAUUUACUAUUAUUUUAUUCAACACAUACAUUUCCACAUUGCUAAGAAGUCUCCUUUAUAAACUCAUAGAUCCGCUCAUGGGUUUGGGCCCUAAAGACACUCAAGUUUUGGAAGGAGUGAGUAGAUAGUUAAAUGUAGAUAUGCUUAUAUCUCCACGUGCACCACCACUGCCGUCUGUCGAGUGAGGCGAGGAGGAAUAAAAUAAUAAUAUAUAUAAUUUUUGGUAAAUUAAACACUUUCCAAAGUCGAAAUAAUAUCCAAAUUAAAUGGUAUUUAUCAAUCAAUUUUCUUUUGUGUUUUAUAACCAUUGGUUGCCUCCACACUCACUAUAUAUAUCAAUCUAAUUCUUCUCUUCAAUAUACAGAAAUUAUAUAUAUUAAUGAUGAAUUGGACUCUCUUGAAUUCAAUAGAACUUGGCACCUAGUUGACUUACCUGACCUUAGCUGCAAAGCAAUAGACUGUAAAUGGAUUUUAAGGAAGAAACUCAAACCUGAUAGAUCAAUAUAUAAGUAUAAGGCUAGACUAGUAGCAAAAGGUUUUAGGCAGAGGAAAAACAUAGAUUUCUUUGACACCUUCUCUCCAACCACUGAUUUCUAUAGUUUUCAUUAACAAUCUCUUAAUACAUCAAAUGGAUGUUAAAAACUGCUUUCCCUAAAUGAUGAUUUAGAAGAAGAGAUUUAUAUGGAACAACCUUAAGAUUUCAUAGUUCACCGUUAAGAAUCUAAAGUUUAUAAAUUAGAUAAAUCCUUCUAUGGCCUAAAACAAGCUCCUACGCAAUGACACGAAAAGUUUGACAACUUAAUCAUUUCCAAAGGAUUCAAAAAAAUGAGAGUGACAAAUGUAUUUACUAUACGACUGAAGAUAGAUUAUGCACUAUCAUAUACUUAUACGUAGAUGACAUGUUAAUAUUUGGAUCAAACCUACACGUCAUAAAUUAUGUAAAAUCAAUGUUGAGCACAAACUUUGACAUGAAAGACUUAUAAGAAGAUAAUGUGAUCCUAGACAUCAAAAUUACCAUAACUAAAAAUGAAAUGUUCUUAGAUCAAUCUUAUUACAUAAAAAAGAUCCUAAAGAAGUACAAAUACUUCGAAAGCAAACCAGCUUGUACACCCUAUGACUCUAGUGUUAAAUUGUUCAAAAACACUGCUGGCAGUGUUAACCUAUCAGAGUACGCUAGUAUCAUAGGUAGUUUGAGGUAUGCUGUUGAUUGCACUAGACCAUACGUAACUUACGCUGUAGGAUUACUAUGUAGGUUUACCAGCAAAUCUAGUCUAGAACAUUGGAAUGCUAUAGAAAGAGUAAUGAGAUAUCUUAAGAAAAUACAAAAUAUAAGAUUACAUUAUCAAAAGUUUCCCGCUAUACUUGAAGGUUACAACAAUGUUGAUUGAAACUUUCUCUUAGAUGACUCAAAGGGUACAAGUGGCUAUAUUUUUAAUAUAGCAGGAGAAACUGUUGCUUGAAAAUCCAAGAAACAAACAAUAUUAGCCUAGUCAACGAUAAAGUUAGAGAUGAUAGAACUAGCUACUGCUAGUGAAGGAGCAAACUUGCUAUAAGAGAUUCCCACACGGGAAAGAUUGGUACCGGCAAUACUAAUCCAUUGUGAUAGUACUACAACUAUCGCAAAAGUUCAGAAUCAUUAUUAUAACAGUAAGAGACGACAUAUACGUCGUAAACACAUUAUCAUUAGAGAUUUUCUCACUACUGGUGCAGUGAUAAUAGAUUAUGUUCGAUCUGAUGACAACUUGGCUGAUUCUUUGACGAAAGGACUAGCAAGAGAGAAGGUCUUUAAAACGUCAGAAAGAAUGAGACUCAAAAUUUAUAGAAAAUUUAAUUACUUGUGAGGUAAACCCAACUUGAAAGACUGAUCCCAAGAAACAAGUUUAAUGGGUAAUAACUGAUCACAAGCAAUAUGAUGAAAAUCAUGCUAAAAUAUUAGAAGUUCCAUUCUUAUGAUUGAAUAAUUAGCAUGACAUCCUGAAGUGUAUGAGAAGGCUAAACUUUGUUCUUAAUGAAAUAUAUACUUGAUAUCAAGUAAGGUACCUAGCUACAUAAGUACUCUUGAUAGCUUCACCUUUGUGAAUGUGGAAGUGAGAGUUGCUUCCUUUGGAAUUUUGGACAAAUUCCUAGAACAUUCACUAAACCGGGUUAUACGUGCAAGGCCAUAAAUCACAAGCUAUUUUAGAACUUCACUCGAAUAAUGUUGUGUGGACAAUAGUAUUAGAAGUAAAGUUCAAAACUACAAGUUACUUUACAAUACUCUAAACUGUUGUCACUACUUAAAGGUUCAAGUCAUUAGACACCUUUACUUAAGCACAAUAUUAUAGAGAUAGACACUGAUCGAUGGAAACGUUUUAAAACAAUUUCAAGUGGGGGACUGAUAGUAUGAAUAUUUCAAGUGGAAAAUUGUUAAAUGAAAAUUUUGAGUAAGCAAAUAUUUAUUAUUAAUUUAUUCAACACAUGCAUUCCUGCUAGUAAUGUGGAUGUCUACUUUGUAAACUCAUAGAUCCAUUUAUGGGUUUAGACCCUAAGGGCACCCAAGUUUUGGAAGGGGUGAGGAGAUAGGAAAAUAUAGAUAUACUUAUAUCUCCACGUAUGCGCACCCCGCCAUUGUUGGGUGUGGAGGAAUAAUAUAAUAAUAAUAUAUACUUUUUCUAAACUGUUUUCUUAUUAUAAACAUUUUUGGUAAAUUAAACACUUUCUAAAACUGAAACCGUAUUCAAAUUAAAUGGUAUUUAUCAAUCAAUUUUAUUUUGUGUUUUAUGAUCGUUGGUUGCCUCCAAAUUUACUAUAUAUAUGAGUCUCAUUCUUCUCUUCAAUAUACAGAAACGAUUUCUCUCCCAAAAAAUUUCUUCUGAGCAUAUGAGUGUUUAUCUGAGUGUUGUGAAUUCUGAUUAGUUUUGAUAUAAAACUAAUUGAAGAACGAUGUAUUUUAUCAUGGGGACGUCGAGGCAAUCAAACUGUUUUGGACAAAGGAGCAGAGACGCAAAACGUCUUAAAGAGAGCGAGAUUCGCGACUCAACCAUUUUCUCAAAAGUUUUUGUUUUGUAGUUUGCGUUUUGACCAAGCGUUUGACCACUAGGCGUUUUGAUCAAUUGGCGAGAUAGUCAGUAAGCGAGAUAAGUUGAGGAGGUGAUAACUAGGCGACUUGGUCAGACGAGAUACCAGUACAUUACACGAGAUACAAGGCAAAGAAGCACGCAUUUUGUCUAGACAUUUUGCCUAGGCGUUAAGACUUCUCAUUGCAUCACUCCUUCGAGUCAAAAAGCAACAACACAAACUAAUCCUAAUCCUAAUUAAUAAAAGAAACUAAUCUUUAAUCCUAAUAAAUAAAAGAAACUAAGCCUAAUCCUAAUAGAUUAAGGAUUUUAUCAUAAUAUCCUAUUCCUACUACAUCAUUCUAUAAAAAAAAAAACUCGUCCUUAAGUUUUAAAAUGAAAAUGAAUGUGAAAAUAAUAAGUAAACUAGUCGAAUAAUAUCCCAAUUUUGUGAUACCUAACAAUCAAUUCUAGAACUAAUACGAUAAAGAAGAACUCCAUUGUCAAAGAAUAUGCAGAUUUAUCAAAAAAAUAAACUAUCACUCAUUUUGUAACUGUGAUGAAAGUUCAAUUGUGGUUGAGUUUUUAAUUCUUCAAUAGGUUUCAAUUUGGGUCAAAUAGAUUAUAGUAAGAGAUAACGCGUAAAUAGCAAAAUAGUAAAUAACAAACUAAAAUGUAGCAAAUUUAAGAAAUAUUAAGAUUUAUAUCAAAAACGCCGGUUGCUGAUUUUUUUUUUUUUACUUUUUUAUACCCAAUUAUACUCUUUUAUAUAAGACAGUUUAUUUCUCACAUAUAUACAAUGUAUUUGAAUAGAUCAAAAAAUGAGACAGAAGAUCACAGAUUCACUAGCACAAUGUAUUUGUUAACAACAUUCAACUUUGGUAAGUCUUAACUAAAUAUGAUAUUUUAUUGCUGAAGAAGAUUGCACUAACAUCUCUUAAAAAAUAUGGCUGUAAUUUCUUUUAGAUUUUCGGAUGCUUAGCAUUUAAAUCAAUCAAUUAACAAUUUAUUUCUAUAAUUCAUAAUAGAUAUAUUUAAUAACGAUUUGAAUUCAAAUUUUGGAUAAUACCCCUAAAAUAAUAGUAAAGAUAAAUUCAAUAAUUUGGAUUCUUUAUAUUUCAUACUAUUUAUCAAAAUUUUAUUAAAUAAUAUAUAAUACAUAUUUUUAAUAACAAUUUAAAUUCAGAUUUUAUACCAUCCGCUAAAAUUGUCAAUUUGAAUUUAAAUGUUACAUAAUAUCCCUAAAAUAUUGGCGAGGAAAAAUUCUUAAUAACAAUUUGAAUUUAAAAAUUAAAAUUAAAAUUGUUUAAUUUAAAAUUUAACAACUUAUAUUUAAAAAAAUAUAUAAAACAUUUAUUAAAUAAUACAUGAUACAUAUUUUUAAGGGGAAUUUUUAAAAUAGUAGAUUUUACAAAAUAUUUACAGCUAUAGAAAAUUAUAAUUCUAUCACUCAUAGUCAUUUACAAAAUUUUGUUAUAGCUCAUAAAUAUUUUAAUUUAUUUUGUUAUUUUAAAAAAUGCUUCUAUUUUUAAUAAUAGUUUGAAUUUUAAAAAAAUUAUUCGUGAUAAUUUCUAUUAUCAACUUAUUUUGGUUGAUUUUUAAUAACAAUUUAAAUUUAAAUUUUACAUCAACCCUCUAAAAUAAUGUAAAAAAUGAAUACACCAUUUUUAGGAUUUUUAUAUUCCAAACAAUUUAAUAAUAUUUUAAAUUCAAAUUUUAGAUCCCAAAAUAAUGCCAAUUACGAUUGUCCAUUUAUUUUUACCAAUUUGAUAACAACUUCAAUUUUCUUAAUUUAACCAAAUCAAUUUAAUUUAUUUUUACCAAUUUGAUAAGAACUUCAAUUUUCUUAAUUUAACCAAAUUGAUUUAUUGGUUAAGUUGGUCAGGUUUGAUUGUGUUGAUUUUCUAUAGAGUUACAAUGUACUUAUACAUACUUUCUAGAUUAGUUUCACAAUAUUUGACAUAAUGUAUAGCAUAUGUUGCUCACAAAAUUACAAUGUAAUUUUAUGCUUUUAAAUAAUGUGAUAAACUAGUCGUUCUAUAUUACGAUCACAUGUUCAAAUAUUAAUAUUUAUUUGCUCCUAUAAUAAUGUACUUUUGCAAUUCAAAACAGUUACCAUUAUAAUAAUGUACUUUUAAUUAAUGCGAUAAACUAGUCGUUCUAUAUCACGAUCACACGUUCAAAUAUUAAUAUUUAUUUGCUCCUAUAACCAUGUACUUUUGCAAUCCAAAAAAGUUACCAUUAAGAUAAUUUGUUACAAAACCAACAAUAAGAACUAUUUCCUAAAUAUUGACAUUGAAUCAUAAUCAUGGUUGUUUAAUUAACCGAACUUUAUAAUAACCCAUAGAAUUAAGAUUUUCCAAACAUAGUAUAUGUUGAGUAUGAAUGAUGUUAUAAACAACAAACUUGGGACACAAACAAAAAGUAAAAUUUUGGUCAUCAAGAUAUAGUAUCAUUCCAUUGGGUAUAAGAUAAUCAGAUAUUUCAAAUAGAGUGUAUUUGAAUAGCUCAAAAAAAGAGACAGGAUAUUAAAAAUAGCACGAAAACAAUGUAUUUUGCAAACAACAUUCAAAUUUGGUAGACUUAACUAAAUCUGUUAUUUUGUUGCUCGACAAGAUUGCAGCAACCUCUCCUAUAAUAAUGACAAAUAUAUCUACCAGAUUUUGAGGUUUGUUAUAUUUUAAACCAUUUAUUAGUAAUAUCAGUAAUUAUUACAAUUUCUUAAAUGACCUUAAAUAUAUUUUUUCCUCUCCCUUGUUUCUUUACCAAUUCAUUAAGCAUUAUAUCUUGUAAGUUAAUCACUAAGGAUAGUUUAAUUUUAACAAAUCACCAAUCUUAAAGACAUUUAAGUUGAAAAAUAAAUACUUCCAAAAUAUGUGUUGUUAAUAACAAUUUGAAUUUAAAAUUUUAUCAACCUUAAAUUCGUGGUUGAUGUCCCAAAAUAAUGGAAAACAUAAAUUCAACAUUUUUGGAUUAUUUAUAUUUUAAAAUAUUUAUAAAAAUUUGAAUUUAAAUACCUCAACAAUACAUAUUGUUAAUAACAAUUUGAAUUUAAAAUUUUAUGAUCCCCUAAAAUCAUGCUAAUUGGUUGGUUUUUAUUUUAAAAAACUAUUUUAUCGUGCAAAUUGCAUUGAAUAACUAUGUUGAGACAUUGUGUUUUUAAAUUACGUUAAUAUUCAUGUUUAUCUUCGUUAGAUGUUUUCUUUUUUGUGUUACAGUUUUUGUCAAAAGCUUUCAAAAUGGCUUUUAUGUUUAGGACAGAAUUGUAAUUAUACUUCAUCUCCUUCUUUAGGUCUUAUAAAUUAGAGAAAAGAAAAGAAGUAGGACAAAUAAGAAGAGGGGGCUGCAAGCUAAAAAAACACAGUAGAGAGAGUUUUUUCUAGCAAAAAAGAUUGAUAGAGAAGAGUGCAGUGCGGCGAUUUUCGGUGUUCCAACAUAAAGAGAGACGUUGGUCGACCGAGAGGAAGACGUCAGAGGUUUAGCCAUUGGGUUUUGAGGCAGACAAAAGCUAACGAUUUUGUGGCUUUACAACGGCUACAACGUUUGUUUCGAUAGCUUCGCGAUGGGUUUAACGACUGGUUAACUAUGGUUUUCGAGCUGACAGAGGUUGGUUUAGUCGUGGGUUCUUCUUGGGGCAAUCGACGCAAGUGACAAACAUAGUGAGAGAGAGUUUUUGUGCAAACAAGAGAGGAGAAAAGUACAAUCAACAAAGAGGAAAACAUCACAGUUUCAACGUCAAUGGCGAGAUGAACAUCUCAAAGUCUUUGGUCGGAGGAGGCGGCAAGAUGAAAAUCCUAAAGUCUCCAGUCAGAGGAGCCAACAAGAAGAAAAUCCAAGUAUGAAAACUUUGAUGGGUUUAAAGGAGACGAGUUGGAAGCUCCAAUAGAUUUUGAAAAAGUUUGAUUUUGAUAGGUGUUAAUUGUGUAUUGGGAGUUUGAUUUUAAUAAUUGGGUAUUUAUGGUUCUUUUAAUAAUUGUAUUUAUGAUUCAAUUUUUUCAGUUAGGUAGGAGCACUCGAGACAUUGUUAUAGCAAUUAUUUUUCCAUAUUUUUUCGAUUCGGUUAUUUUAUCAAUUUAAAUAAAAAUUUGUCAUUUAUUCAAAAUAAACCCAAUAUUUUUCUAUUUUUCUGGUCCGCCCUUGUAGUAAUAUUGAGUGGACUUCAAAAUUGAUCUAGGUUUGGAGAUGAUAGGUUGAGCUUGAGAAGACCAAAAUUUUGUUUGGAAUAAAUUGGAUCAUCUGGGUUGGGUUAAGUGAAGGAAAACUGCAGCUGAUGGAUGGAUUAUAUAUGAAACACAGUACAAUAAAUUCUCGAUCUUCCACCGCUAGUUUUAAAUCGUCAGAAGAAAUGGCAUCAGAGAUGUGGUAUCGUCCAACGCACCACCCUAACAUGCCUAAAUUACAAACUACUAGUUCACAUGCCUAAAUUACAUCACAAAAGAAAUAGAAAUAAUAAAUAUACGAAAGGCCAUUAAUUACAAAGAAUAAUAUACAGAUUAUUUUCAUAUAUAUAUGAAAAUAUUUUCCAAUAUCCCCACAAAUUGGUGAUUUGGUUUCUUUGUACGGUUGAACCAUUCUUGCCCCAUGUAGCUUAAUGUUAGACCGUCAAAUCUUUUGUUAGGAUUCCAACCUACCCAGAGGUACUCAAGAAUAAACAGACAGCUCAAGAACAACUAAUUAUGAAAAAAUAUUGUUAGAACUGAUGUCCAAAAGAAUUGUUGUUCCGUGACAAACCACUGUUCUAAAAACAAUUACGGUACAACCAUGGUACUAAACACGAUGUCGGUUGCUUUUCAAGGUUAACACAACUCUUCAACUUAAACGUAUACUUGUUGGAAUAAGGAAUAGAAUCAAGAAGCUAAAUUAUGCCAAGGGAUGAAAGUUGAGAUGAACCGACGAUAAUAAAAGGAGAAAAAAAGAAACGACUAGAAUAAUCCUAUAGAUAUGAUAAACAAAAAACAAAAAGGAGAAUAAUCCUAUCACUAGAAACACACUUUACUUUUACAAUUAGCAUGCAGUGAUAUUUAUACCCUCUACGUAGUACUAAACAGUUCAAUGUGUGGGACAAAAAUCUGUCUUAUCCUUUACUUAUGGGCAUAAGUCCAUAAAUCAUUUCAAUAAAUGCCCGCCAAGUGACUAUUACAACAACGUUAAGAAGUAAACAAAAGAAAACAAAAGUUUUAAGAAAUCUAUUCUGAGCUAAGAUAGGAGAUCAAGAUUAUGCAUCAAUAUAUUGUAAUGAUUUGAAUUGAUUGGUAGUGUUGCAAGACGACUAACAGAGCGAGUGAGUUACAAAGCAAGAUCUCAAAAUUGGGCAGCGAUCCUUCUCAUGCGUUUAAAACACGGGACUCAACUACUAUCUUCCUUGGACUCACAAAUGUCUUCUCUUCAGCCUUGACCCGAAUUGGGGCUUCAACUUCCACUCUUAGACUCUGCCCAAUAAGCAAACCCAUGAGUCCCCAUUUUUCCUUCUUCAUUUCCAUUGACGUUGUUCUUCUGUAAUGAUUAUAGCAACCUUUGCUUAAUUCACCUCCUCUGCCCAUAUAUAAGAUAAUAAGUUUAACAACCCCUUUUAACUUAGCUUGCCCCAAAUGAAAAACUCUUCAAAUAUUAAUCCUAUAAAUCACUAUCUUUCUUAAAUGAAAGAGUGGGAUUCCAGCAAUUCAAGCCUAUAACCCAGCAUGUGGCUAUGGGCCCAUAAUUUAUUUGUCUUCCUUAAAGAGUAACAUUGAGUUUCUACAAAUUGUAGUCCAUAUUCAAGCCCAACAUCCUACUCAAUUUUUCCUUUCCAUAUUCCUCCUCCAAAGUAACGCUUGUCCUCCCUCCCAUUUACAUUUUACUAAGUAAUAACCCACCUUUGGCUGCAUCAAAAUAGAAUAAUGGGCUGUGUUGUGAUUCUGUGAAGUUAAAUUCAACUCUCCCGCAAGCCCUUCGCAUUUGUUAAAACAAUAAAAAAAUUAGUUGUUUUUGUUACUUUGAACUACUGUAACUGAUACUUGUUUGAGAGUGAGUUAUUUUGUUAAAAACAUAAACAAAAUAACAGUUUUAAUUCUUGUAGCUUAAAAAGGAAGCUUAGUAGAAAAAGUGAUGUAAGAAAAACUCAUCUGUAUUUUUUUGGCUUUUUGAAAACAUUUUCAUCUUAAAUAAUCUGUUGAAUAAAAGUGUGCUUGGAGACUUUGAAGAGUUCAUGUAAGCAAAUUUGUUGAACAAACCAUAGUUGUAUGUUCUUCUCAUUCUCUUCGUGCUCCAUUGAUCUUUGGAAGGCCAUUGUUGAAACUCUCAUCCAUCUUUUCUCUCUUGGUAACAUGCAAAACAAAAGGAAGAAAAUAAUUAAUAUACCUAAAGGUAGAGAACGUAGGUUUUGUAAUAAGGGUCAACCAUAAGAAUAUCAAUCUACAAUUUGUCAUUUAGAAAAAUAGCAAAACUGUUUUUUUUUUUCUUUUAAAAAAGGGCAAAACGAAUAAAAAUACAAUAAAUAGAAAUAUAAUCCAAAAUGCCCUUAGAUAUAUAGAAUGCCAGCUACUUUCUAAAGCUAAAAUAAAGUCUAAUUACACUAAUAAAUUCUCGAACAUAAUUAUCCUUACAUGUCCAAUCAAACUUAGAAUCCUUUUAAUCUUCACUUUCUAGCACUCUUGCAGUCAUCUUCAUUUUCCAUUUUCUUUUUCGAUAAUUAUUCAUAUCAAAGUCUUCAAGUUACAUAUUUAAUCUUCAAAUUACAAUUCCAUUAUUCCAUCUUCACCAAGCAGGCAAAACCUAAUCUCCACCCUCCAUUUUGCAAGUUACAAUUCCAUUUGAAGUACUUCAUCCUGCAUUUUUAUCUUCUUGUAUUUAAAACAUAAGAUUUUAUUAACUUCAUAUUUUUCACCAUCUUAAGGAAAAAUAUUUAAUUUAUAUUAGUAAUAUUUUAUAUAGAUUUUAGAGCGGUUUUAUCUAAAAAACGCAACAUUUUUGGGAUAUUUUGUUGGGAUAAAAAAAUAGAAUAAACCAAAAUUCAUUUAAAAAUCCUGAACAAUAGUGUUCUCUAAUAUUGAUUUGAGGUCAAGAUACCAUCCAUUCAAGGUUUGGGAAGUAUAUACUCUUAAGACAACAUUCAAAACGAGGUAUGGGCAAUAUGAGUUUUUAGUGAUGCCAUUCGAUUUAACAAAUGCACCUACAGUUUUCAUAGACCUCAUGAACAAUAUUUUCCAUCAUUAUUUAGAUUAGUUUGUGAUAGUGUUCAUUGAUGAUAUAUUAGUUUACUCAAUUGAUAGGAAAGUCCAUUAGGAAAAUAUGAGGAUUGUUCGAUAGACAUCACGUGAUAAAUAGUUGUAGGCUAAGUUCAACAAAUGUGAGUUCUGGUUGAAACAAGUAGUGCUCUUAGGGCAUGAAGUUUCAACAAACGAAGUUAGUGUUGAUUCGUAGAAAGUGAAAGAUGUUGUCAACUGAGAGAGACGAACUAGUGCAACAGAAGUACAUAGUUUCCUAGGCCUUGCAGGAUACUACAACCAUUUUAUUGAGGAUUUCUCACCAUUUGCAUUACUCUUAACAACUUUGACAAGAAGAAUGCUAAGUUUGAGUGGUCGGAUAAUAUGAGACUUUCCUUUGACAAAUAAUCUCAUCUCCACUAUGUUGAUCUUUUUUAGAUGAACUGUGAGCUUCCUCUGGUACAACAUCCAUAAGCUCACUAAUACUCGAAACACACAGUCUUCUUUUCUUAACUAUGACUUCAUAUAUUCUCAACUCAAACUCUACCUCUGAGCCUUACUUUCAUGACUUUCCAAGUAUAUUAUGUAAGUUACUAUCCUCUAGUUAUCUUCUCACAAUCUCUACUACUAGAGAAGACCUAACCUGAAAUUAAGCUACAAGACUCAUUGUACUCUCUACAGUCAUAGCCCUAUUAAAGCCUCUUAACUCACUUAUCAAACUUGCUCGAAUGCCAUACAAGGCACUCUUUGGAAGUCUAGACUUCAUAUUGAAUGCAUUUGCUACUAUGUUAUUCUAUGGUAUUCUAUGGUACAGUCACAACUUAUAAUCAGUUCUAGCCAUCACCUCUAUCUUAAAUUAAACUCUUUGAUCAAAGAUAUACUUCAGACUCUUACCGAUAUGUAAAAAUGUGGCACACUUCUCAUCGAAUAAAUAAUUUCUCUAGAUUUUCAUUGCUAAAACAACUAGUGCUAGCUCAAGAUCAUGGUUAGGGUAAUUAUAUUCAUUGUUCUUCAACUGUCUUGAAGCUUAGCUAUUAACUUCCCUUCCUACAUAAGGGUAUAACCUAAUCCUUGGGCUCGAGGCGUCACAAUAGAUCAUGUACUCCUUCUCUAUUUCAUGAAGUGUCAUAAUAGAUGCUAUGACUUGAAUCUCUAUCAAAACAAGGCAUCCUACCUGAUGAAACCAGUAAGAAGCUGUCUUUUUGUAAACAUUGUGUGUUAGGGUGAAAGCAAGAAAAAAAUACUUCUCCAAAGCCCAACACACUACUAAAGGAAUCCUUGACUUCAUCCAUUUGGAUCUAUGAAGACUAUCCUCAACUCCAAGCCUAGGUGGCUCAAGGUACAUUUUAUCCUUUACUGGUGAUUUCUUUAGAAAAAGUUGGAUUUAUUUUCGAAAAACUAAAAACGAAGUCUUGAAAAAAAAAAUUAAAAUGGAAAUUGAUGAGAGGAAAACAAAAAGAAAAAGAUAUUAAAUAUCCUAGAACCUAUGAUGGUUUGGAGUUUUGUGGAGAGGAUUUCAGUGCUUUUUGUAUGAAAAAUGGAAUUACAAAACUUAAGACAAUAAGAUACACACCACAACAAAAUGGGGUGGUCAAAAUACUUACAAGAACUAUCGUGGAAAGAGUAACAUUCCCAUUAUCUGUUUCCUGUUUCCUAUUUCCUAUUUCUUGUUUCCUAUUUCUUGUUCCAUGUUUCUUCUUUUUUGAUAACAAGAUACAAGAAUGUGUUUGAUAACUAUUUCUUGUUUCCAGUUUCUUAUUUCUUGUUUUCUUAAUUAUUUCCUACAUUUGUCGACUCACAUCUAAUUCAAUUAAAUAUUAACAAAAAUAUAUGUCGAUAGUUAAACACUUCUUCUCUACCUUGAGGGCAAUGUCUCAUUUCUUUAAAAUCUACCUCACUAACUUUAACGAUAUUUACCAACAAUAAAUCAUUUUUGGAUUUCAACGGUAUUUUGUCAUUUGUAUAAGUUCUAAACAUUUUACACAUUAGCUUGAAUAUGAGAUUGAAAUUGAAAGAAUGAAACUUUCUAUAAAAGUUGAGAUGGAAAACAUCUUUAAUCCUUACAUUUAUAUUUAUACGAAAAAAUACUUAAUACCACCUUUGGUUUUAUAUAUAAAAGAACAAAGACAACCUAAUAGAAAGUUAAAAUGUUUGAAUUUAUACAAAAAUGGUGCUAUAUUCCAAAAUUAUGGUUCAAGAUUACAUUUUUUAAGCUCUUGAAACUCACCAAACAAAGAAGAAAAAAAAGCAAAAAAACAAUAUCCUCAUAUUUUCUUCUAAAAUGUUGGGCCAAACAGAUAAACUUUAGCAAUAAUUUUAGCAUAUAAACUUUAGAUAAAAGAGAAAGAGAACAAAAAGAGAGUCAAAAUCUAAGCAAUCCAACCUCAUUUCAACAUUUAUAAAACUUCAGAUUCAACCAAGAACUUAGCUAAUACAAGAUAAAAAAGAAUGGGAAAUAGAAUGGUAUACUCAGAUGACAAUGGAGAUUAUUAGGUUCGAUUCUGACAGUAAAGUCUCCUCAAUAGAUUUCAGAAGAGGAAGCUCUUUAUCCUCAUUGUAACCCUUCAAGUUCCCAAGAAAAAACUCAAUCGCUCUUUAUACGAAAGUGUAAAAGGAAAAAAACAAAUUUUUCUUGAAGAGUAAAUGGAAACGAGAGAGAAAGACAGAUUCGAAAAGAUCAAUUCUGCAUUCCAAUCUAUUGAGCUUGAUCUUUCAUGAAAUCAUCAAAGCCACUUGUUGUAUAUAAAACCAACAAAGGAAAAUCCAAAGGAAUCCAACCCGUAUGCAUCCUGAACUCGUUAUAUGGUAUGCGACGCGACUGGAGCAACCCCAACACCUCAAAGGAAACGCCAGAAUGCUCAUCAACUUAACUCUUUAAAAAAAAAAUGUACUUUAAAAUUUAGGCGACAAUAACAUCUUAACGCAGUGGAUUGAGUUAAACAACUUCUUUAUUAAUUCAUCUUCAUGCACUCUACAAUACAAUUUACACGCUCCUUAAAUAUAACAAAUAUAUAACAAUAAUCUUAAAACGCCUUGCACAGCUUCACAAUAUGGUAGUUCGCCCUCCUUAUUCCAACCUUGGCCUUACAAGCUGGUGACCUAAGGAAGGAAAAACUUUAAAACGUACGUAAAAACUUAAUGAGUGAUAGUUUUGGAAAACCUUUUUGGACAUAUAAAUACAUGAAAUUAUUUUCAUAAACACGACUUUCAUCACCUCAUUUCAUAAAACAGAAAUACUCAUUAGUCCUUCAUAUUCCUUUCCACCAAGAACAUGAACCAUUCUCAUGCAUAGAUUACUGUGAUGUCCUUUUCAUCAACAUCAUCCUUUGGAGAAUAUAUAUCCUAAUUCAUUUCUCGUUGCUCAAGCCGCUAAGCUCAAUAUGCUCAUUUUACGCAUCGGCCAACUUCACUCCACUAUGCAGUUCUUUUCUACAUGGUUGUCUUUGCUCCUUACGUCCACAUAAUAGUUAGUCCAUUGAGAGGAAUAAGACUAAUGCACACAACAUAGCACACAAUCAAUAACAAUAGGUUUACUUGAAACAAAACACAACUUUCUUAGAAAUCGUUUAUUUCAUAUGAAACGUUACAAGUCAGCUAGAAAUUAUAAGAAAGCUUUAAAAUCUUUAAACAAAAUCAUUCACAACACAAAUUCUGUCUUUAAAACGUGUGGAUUCCCAAAGACAUUAUUCUCGCCUAGUGAGUUUCCUCUUAGCAGAAUAAGUUCAAAUAUUUCAACAAAAACCCUUUUUACCAUAAACCUUUGUUCUUAUUUAUACUAAUCCCAACUUGGAUUGGUCAUCACUAAUUUCUUUAAGCUUGACAACUCCUACUUAAAGUAAUCCAUAUGCUUUUCAAACCAUGUGGAUUAGCUUAAGUACCAUUAGAAAAUUUUCCAAAAAUUUCCUAACUCUUCAACAUCUGAUCUUAUCUCACGCUUUUCCCUCAAAAUGCCUAUCAUCCCUUACUUGCAGAUUCUUUCCUCAUGCUAAGAUCUUCAUAAUGCGACUUAUCAAAACACCUAUUUUAUAAAGAUUUCUUCCUAUAUCAAAAUCCUUUAUUUAUUGGUCAUGUUGAUGAAAAGGAACGAGAAAUGUGAGACAGCUUUUAAGCGUCAAGUAAAGCUAGUUUUGUAGUAGUGAUGACUUCCAACAUUGCGUAGAUCCUUCCACAUAUGAGUUUCAAUUGCCAUCAUUUUCUGUUUUUCUGAUAUUUUCUUUAUUGUUUUCUUUUUCUCUGCUUUGAUAUUUGCUAGUCUUUUCUCCUCUUUUUCUCUAUUUGUUUUUAAUGAUUCAAUAAGUGUUUGUUGCAAUGUUCUAACCUACAGAUGUCCACUAGAUGGAACAGGAAUGAGGGGAUGUCACUCCCUAUCCCCGUCCCUACAAAUUUCUUUUCCCUCGUCCCCAUCUGCACCCCCUAUUCCAUUCCCCAUUCCCCAUUCCCACAAAUUUUCCCAUGGGAAAAUAUUUCCCGCUUUUAUGUUUUUAUAAAUAAAUAGAAAUAAAAAUAAAUAUAGAGGUCUUUUAAAAAAAUAAAUACUUACAUUGUAUAGAAAAAUUUUGAAAAUGAAAAAAGCUCAAAGGUCCACAAUAUAAAGUACUAAAACUACUUCAGUCAAGACAUGACAAAUUGGUCACAUGUGCAUGAUACACGAUUGUGUAGAUUUUAAUACAAGAUCUUAGGCAUACCAUAUCUCAAGAUGCCCCUAGAUGAAAGAAUUAUUCCUUUAGUUAUUGUACCUCUGGCCUUAGUUGCACUGAGAUGGUCUAAAAUGUUAGAAUUCUGUCUUUAUUUUUUGAUCUUAGGCAUACAUUAUCCUGAGAUGCCUGUAUGUCUCAGGAUGAAAGACUUCUAGCUUUAGUUAUUCGAUCUCGAACAUACAUUGCCCUGAGUUGACUCAGGAUGAAGGAAUUCUUCCUUUAUUUUAUUCAAUCUCAGGCGUACAUUGUCUCAAGAUGUCUUGAGAUGAAAGACCUCUGCCUUUAAUUAUUCGAUCUUGGCCUUAAUUGCAUCAAGAUGACCUGAAAUGAAAGAGUUCUGCCUUUAUUUUAUUUGAUCUUGCCUCGAAAUGUCAUCGAAUGAAAGUUUUUUGUCUUUAGUUAUUCGAUCUCGGGCCUUAAUUGCACCGAGAUGGCCUGGGAUUAAUAGAAAUAUACAUGUGUGUGUGUGCGUUUUUUUCUUUCGAGGCAGGGUCGCGACCAGGUUCCGAGAAUGUAUUCCCCAUCCUUAGUCGUGAAUUGUUAAUAAAAAAAAAAAAAAAUCCUUAGUGCCUCUCCCAUUUUCCUCCUCGUUGUUGUACCUCUAACAAUACUUCAUUAAAAAAAAACACUAUUAAAUUUGAUGUUCCAAGAUGAGCAAUGGCUUUGUAAAAAUUGUUAGGAUCUCAACCUAACAAGAGAUACUCAAGAACACACAAACGGAACUCAAGAACAAUCAAUUAUGAAAAGCAUAUUUGAAAUAAAUGUUAUAACAUCAAAGAACAAGUAACUUGCUCUUUGCGAGGACUAGACUCUCCCAAAUCCCCCACAAGAAAAUUGAUCCACACAUAAAAUUCUUCAUACUCUUUCCCAAUCCCUCUCCUUGAUCUACAAUCCCUCUCCUUGAUCUAUUUAUACUAAAAAAGAACUAACUAACUUUCUAACUAUUUACUAAUAUAUAUGUUCCCAACUAAUAACCAUAUUAAUUUUCAACUGAAUAUUCCUUUUAUUCUUUAACUAGGGAUCUCACAUCUUCUUACCAAAUGGCUAGGUCCCUACUAGCUAACUAUAUUAAUUUACAUCAUGUAAUUUAGAAUCAUUCUUUUAGCUGCUUAGGUGAAGGAUAUUAUCGAGGCCAACUAGACUAGCUUUUUUGGGUGCUUACAAAUAUCUUAAGGUGUCAUUUCGGACUUAAAUGUAAUUUAGGCUGAAUGUGCAUUUAUAUUUAUCAAUAAUCAAACUUUAUGUCCUUAAUUCUACUUGUUGGGGAUUUUUGAACAUUCAUAAUCUAGAUAUAUAAUCGAGGCAUUACAAAACACAUGCAAUCAUGUUAUGUCAGAUCAUCAUACUCGUACCAAAGUUUAAAUACAAAUAACAAUUUUCGACUUUUGUAAGAAUGCAAGAGAUAUAUAUUGCACACUCAUGCCACUUGACAAGCGUUUCUUAACUAAUAUACUAUUUCUUAUGGAAAAUCUCUUAGCACACUCAUUUUGAGAUGUUUGCCCUCACUAGGUGUGUAAUCGGGUUGGGUUGGGAGACAUUCUCAACCCAACCCAUACUUUUGGGUUAUAUGGGUUGGCAACCCGAAUUUAGUUUCCAACUCAAUCAGUAAAAAUAUGGGUUAGGUUGGGUUAUGUUGUUUUUUUUUUUUUUCUUUCUUCGUUUCUACUUUCUAACGAAAACGAAGGUGGAUGGCACGAUUGUGAGGGAGAAGACCGAAGAGGGAGAAGAUCGACCGUCGAAAAUGGAGGUGGACAACGAGAUUGUGAGGGAGAAGACAGAUGACUGAGGUGAGAUGGAAGAGAAGAAUCGAACACAAUGAAAAAGGGUGAACAGGACGCAAGGGAAAGAAAAUUGAAGAGGGAGGAAGACCUUAAUUUUUAGAUUUUAUUUUAUUAAAUAAAUAAUAUAUAAAUAUGAAUAUAUAUACAUAUAUUAUAUUAAUUUAGGUUGGGUUGGGUUGACCCGAAUUUUUCAAUCGUCCAACCCAAGACCCAACCCAACCCGAAAAUAUUAAUUUUUUUUAAUCCAACCUAACCCUUACAAUAUGGGUUGGGUAGUACGGAUUAUCUGAAUUCAACCCAUAUUUUUACACCUCUAGUCUUCACCGUGGAUGAUCAUUUUCACCACGGUGGCUCAUUAGACCAUAGAGCAAGUUAUGGCUUAUGGCGGUAGAGAGAGCCAACACAAUGUAUUUCCCUUUAGAUCAUUUCAAGGUACAAAGUUGGUUUCAGCCCUCAAAUGUUGUGAGGAGUCACUCACUAGUGUGAAUACCACAUUUGAACUAUGAUUAAAAAAUUGAUGUGGUUGCUUUCUUCACUCAUGUGUCGUCAACUCUAGAUUCACCCGUCCAAACUUCUAACAAAACUCUGACUUUUAGGAGAGAAAUGACCCUAAGGAUAUCAGGAGGAGUGAAGAAGAAAAAGAAUAUAGAAAUGAGUAAAACAAUAAUAAACAACUAUAGAGGCAAUAGUGCAAGUAAUAAGGAAUACAUAUAUUACUUUGUACGUGACACGGAAGAAAUUAUAAAGUACUGUUGAGAGAAGCAGCCUAUUGCUAUAGUAGAAUUGAGACAUGUUACACCAAAUUCUUAUACUUAUAUUAACUAAUUUUAUCCGUGUAAAGUUAUAUAUUUGACAAAUGUGAUGUGAUAUUUGUGUGUACAUUGAGGGCAGUGCCCACUUUUCCUGAACACAUAAAUAAUGUUAAGUGAACAAUUGUAUGUAACUAGUCGUACCAUAUUAGACAUACACUUUUUAUAUUAUUAUAAGUAAAAAAAUAUCAUAAUUAAAGCUAAAUUUAACCUCUAAAUCGAAGUUUUGUGACUAAUAAAUCUCAAAUUUGUAAAUAAAUGUUAGAUAAAUAUUCUUGAUUUUUAAUUUUGUAUAUCUUUUGACGAGUACUACAACUGAACAUUUUAAACUUUGUAUAUCAUAAAUCACGAAUCAUGAUAUAAAGGAUAUAAUAUAUUUUUUUAAAGAGGUAUUUAAUGUUCCAUAUUGGUAAAUGUAUAUCAUUUUGUAACGAUGUUUAAUAAUCUCGAUAAAAAUUAGAUUUUUUUCAAUAGCUACUAUAAAUAUAUAUCUUUCUAAACGGUCUUUAAUAAUCUAAUUUCAAAGGUUACGUUCAACAAAUAUCUAUUCUUCAACUUUAUAUUUAAUAUAUUAUUCAUAAAUUAAAAAAACAAAACAAAAGCUGAAUACAGUAUGGUAUUAUUAUAGACACGUUUUUAAAGAUCAAGUGCUCUAUUAGAAGUAUUUGAACACGUUUGGAAGACUUGGAACUGAGUUUGUAAGGAAAGAAACAAAGAAAGAAGAAAAACAAAUGGCAAAGAAGAUGAUGAACGUGGAAGAAACAUAGAAAUCUCCAUAGCCAUUAAAAGCCACACCAUACAACCUUCAAAAUUCCACGUCUCAUCCAUGCAUUGCUCUCUUAUUCCUUCAAAUACUCAUCCUUUCAGCCACCACUUUUCUCCCCUACUCUCCUCUUUAAACAUUAUACUCAAGCCCAUAUAAUGAUGUCUACUAAACCACUAGUUUCCAUCCUCCUCCUUUCCCUCUUCCUCUUCGCCGUUGCUGCCUCCGACCACCAGUUCGACGAUGACAACCAAAGCCAACGCCCUUGGUUGCAAAGGUGCCGUCAGCAGGUUCUCGCCUUUCCAGUUCUCUUUUAUUUAUAGUUUCAUUUAUUCGGUUAAUUGCUAUUUUUUAUUUUUAUUUGUAUUCGUUGGGAUGAGAACAUGCAUACAAUCCACCAACUAGUUUGCUUGUGUUUUUGUUAUUUUUAAACAAAUAACUACUUUACUUUAAUAUUGUUCAAAAUUAAUUAUUUUGGUAUUUUCUAUACUUUAUUUAAAUAUAUAUUUCAUAAAUUAUUUAGAUUUCAUUUGCUAUUAAUAACUAUUUGUUUUUUUGUUUUUAUUUUUAAAAGUUAAGCUUAUCUUUUCUCCAAUUUCUUACGUUAAAAUGUUGAAUUUUUAGCUAAAUACUAAAAACCAAAACUAGCUUAGAACUUUAUAUAUUUUCUUAACUUUCAAAAAACUAAAAUGGUUUUAAAAAAUAUUGGUGAAAAAAUAAAUAAUGAAAUUAUAAAUUUAGACAUGAAAGAAAGGUUAUUAUAAAAUUUUCAAAAAAUCUAAAAACAAAAAAACUAUGACUCCUUUUUUAACUAAAUUAUAUAUAUAUAUAUAUAUAUAUAUAUAUAUAUAUAACUUUUUAAAUACCAUACUAAAGUUAUAUUGGCAAAAAUGUACAAAAAAAAAAUAUCCAACCAAUGUAAGCAAAUCCAAACGUCACUUUUCAUAUAGAACCCAAGAUUACUUAAAUCCCAAACCCAAGAUUACUUAAAUCCCAAAUUUUGAAAACUAAGAAAACACAUAAAUUUAAAAAUAAUUUUGUUUUAAGAAUUUAACUAACAAUUCUUAACUCUUUGAAAAAGAGGAAAAAUAACUUGUUAUUCACCACACAAAUGUUUUAUUUUACUUUAUGUUUACCAACAAUCAAAUGUAACACCUACCAUGUCGCUAAAAAUGUGACAGAUUCGAAGCGGCGAACGGCUGCGCCACUGUGAGAGGUUACUGACACAGCCCCGCCGCUUCCGGCUGCUGUUAGCAGCGGAGGAAGAGGAAGACGCAGUGGAACAUCUGGAGGAAUGCUGCCAGCAGCUGAAAGGGAUGGACGAUGCAUGCCGGUGCGAGGGGCUUCGUCAGAUCGUGCAGCGCCGUAGGCAGCAAGGCCAGCUGCAGGGGGUCGAUGUUGGACAAAUGCUGGAAAGAGCUACAAACUUACCGUCGGUCUGCCGUCUCAGCCGACGCCGGUGUGACCUCCGAUCAACCACUCCAUUGUAGAAUAAGAGGAAAGAAAAGAGAGAGGAGAGAGAGAGCCCAUUGAGGUUGAACAAUCUGAAAAAUGGAGUAAUAAUCAAUAAAAUAUGAAGGCUCCCCAACUUAGAGGGAGAUCUGUGUACUAAUGUUUUAAAGAAACAUCACUUAGUUUCUUUUUUUUCUUUCUUCUUUCUUUCUUUUUAUUUUUAUUUUUGGUUUAGUUUUCUUUUCUUUACCUUUUUUUCUUGGGGUUUUUGUUUUGUUCUGUGUGCUGAAAUCGAAAUAAAUCAAAAUAAGUCUUAGACUCUACUGGGAAUAAAUAUCGUUGAAUCUUAAUUAUUUAGUUUACUUCUUUUAAUUUGGUUGAAUCUUAAUUAUUUUUGUUUACUUCAUUUAAUUCAUCUCUUUCAAACUAUUUUUUCUAAUUUUAAAUAUCAAGUAACUAUUUUUUUUAAAAUCAACAUACUCGGGUUGAGUUGAGUUGGAGAACGUUUUCAACCCAACCCAUAUUUUCAAGUUGGUUGAAUUGGAACUUAAAUAACCUCAAUUGUAUUUCUAUCCAAUCUCGAGUUAGAUUGAGUUGGCAGGUUGUAUAUAUAUAUAUUUUUUUUUCAUUUUUAAUGUUUGCAAAGUUUAUAAUUGUUGUACCUCGAUAAAUACACACAUCCAAAAAUUUAAACAUCCAUAAAUUCAAAGUUUCAAACAUCCAUAAAAGUUUAACAUUCCAAACAUUAUUCAUAAAUAUUAAAUAAAUAUAUAAACAUUUUUAAAAAUAGCAAAAUAAAUUAAAAUUUUGGAUUCUAUCACGGAUAGUCUUCUAUCACUAUAACAUAUCACUGAUUGAAUUUGCUAUAGGUGGUAAAUAUUUUGUAAAAUCUAUUAUUUUUAAAAAUUUUCCAAAAAUAUAUGAUAUAAAUAAAUUUAAUUUAUAGGGACAUUUUUAAAAAUACUAAAUAAAUUAAAAUAUUUACAAACUAUAACAAAAAAUUUUGGAUUCCAUCAAUGAUAAAAACUGAUAGAUUUUUAUCACCGACUAUAAAUGUUACUAUACAAAAAUAUCAAUGUUUAUCAAAUAUUUGUUGUUGAUAGAAUUAGAAAUUUUGCUAUAGCUUAUAAAUAUUUUGUCAAAUUUGCUAUUUUUGACAAUUUUUUCUCUCUAUAUAUAUAUAUUAUGAGUAAUAAGGGUUGGAUUAGGUUAAAUCGAAUUUUUCAACCUCAAUCCGAGACCCAACCCAACUCGAAAAAAAUCAAAAUUUUCAACCCAAACUUAACUCAUGUAAUAUGGGUUGGGUGUUACGGGUUUCGACUUAUUCAGAUUAUUCUUACACCCCACUUAGGACAUCUUAAACUUACUUUUUAAAAAGGGGCUCUUGCAAAUAUGACAAAAUUAAUUUGAUAAAUUAGGCUUAUACCACACAAAUUGUAAAUUUGUAAAAAUAAGUCCAGUCACAUUUGAGAAAUGCAAAAUUACAAACCUACCCUAUAAAAUUAUAAAUCAUUAGUUUGUUACAUUUAAGUUAGCCACAUUAAACAUUUUUUACAUGUUUCUUCUUCCCUUCAUGUCUCACUAAUACUUCAUCGAUACACAUCAUUUGUUUGAUACAUUUGAUAUGUUGUUGAUACCUUGAUGCAUUUUUUAUACGCUUGUUAUGCUUUGCUAAUACAUCUGAUGAAUUAAUUAAAUAAUACUUGAUACACAUCAUUGGUUUGAAUAUACAUUGGAUAUGUUAUUGAUACAUUUGCUAAACUUUGCAAAUACACUUAAUCAAUUAAAUACACUUGAUGUACUAAGUAUGAUACAUUUAAUAUAUUGUCGGUACACUUAGCUAUUAUGGUUUGUUCAUACAGUACUUGAUGGGUUUAAUACACUACCGAAAAUAUAUUUUAUACUUUACUAAAAUCCUCGACAGAUUUUAUAAAACUAACUUGAUGCAAUUCAUAUGUUUGAUACCCUUGAUGUACUGAUAGUACACUUUCUAUAUUACUAAUACACUCGAUUGAUUAAAUACAUUUGAUACACUUAUGGUUCUGCCGAUACACUUAAUAUAUUUCACUAUUACACUUCGAUACAUAUUAUAUGUUUGAUAUACACUUGAUAUCAUGUUGAUUAUUAUGCAUUAUUUGUAAUAUGAUCAACUUGAUUAAAUGAAUCAAUUUCAAUUUACUUAAAUAGGUUAAUGCUAAAGAGAACCUUGAAAAUAAAGUUCAAUAAGUUGACAACAAUAGAUUCAAUUGUCAACACGAGUUUCAAUACGUAAUAUCAAGUUCACAAAAUAAUCAAACAACAUCACUCCAUCAACCAAAACACAAUUGUUUUGCAAUCCACGUAGUAUGUCACUCAUCCCAUUAACCACUAUGAAACAUAAUUAUUGCAAGCUUAACCAUGACUACGAUCAACUGCAAAAAAUUAAAGAAAAAAAUAGAUAGUAUGUACAUCAGUCAAAUAAUACAUAUAAUAUAAGUGUAUCACAACACUGAUAUACAAAACUGAUGAACAAAAUAAAACCAAAAUAGAACCAACAUAAAAAAAAAAUAAUAAUAAUUAGAAAUUAGAUUUAACUCCAAAAUUCACACCAAAGAAAAUAGAGAAUAAUAACAUAUAAAGUUAAAAUUUUCAUAUCAACAACUAUUAUAUAUCAAAUUUCAACUAACACUACAAGAAAUCGAAGUUUUUUCGAUGAAGAAAAAUGCGUCGGACAAAGGAACAUCGACAAACGGAGUUUCUUCCGACGUAACAAGAAUAAUUUCGAAAGAGGGCCUUUCUCCUGACGCUGCCAAAUGAACAUCGAGCAAAUGUGGCCAAGCCCCAACGUGAUUCAUGUACACAUCGGAACUACCUUAGUUACUGUCGACGUCUACUAUAUGGCAUCGAAAGAGGUGAAAGAAUUAAAUGCAUAAUUGGCUUUCCUCCAACGUGAUGUCGGAGGCAUCAAGAAAAUGGAUUCACAUUCCUAAUGUCAUUAGUUAUAUGUCAGAAAUGAGAGGGUUUCCCUGACACUUUCGAGAUGUGUCGAGUAUUUCCCUUUUAAUAAACUCAUUCUCAUUCAUGAUGUAAAUUACAGAAUUGAAAGAGAAGAAGGAAAACGAGAGAGAGAGAGAGACUAAGAAGAAGAGAUCUUUCAUCGUCCUGUUGUCGUCGAUCCCCGUCGCUCGUUGUCGUUCUAUCAUCGUUGUCUUCUAUCGAUUCUACUAAUUUAGGUAAGUACUUUUGUUUUAUAUUAGUUUAGAUUUAGUUUAUUUUUAUUUAGAUUAUAAAUGAUGAUUUAGGAAUAAGAUUUUGAAUUUGGUUUUAGAUUUGGAUUUUGAAUUAGUUUUUGGAGUUCAAUUUGAAUUUUAUUUGUUUUUGGGAUUCAUGAAUUAGUGUAAAUUUGAGGGGUUGUUGAAUUCAAAGUUUGAAAGAGUGAGGGGUUGAAUGAAUUCAAACCGUAAGGGGGUUAAAUUAAAAAUUGAAAGGGGUUGAAUUGAAAAUUAGAGGGAAAGGUUGAGUUUGGUUGAAUUGAAAUUUUUCACGAGAGUUGGAUUGAAACAGGUGAAUUGAAAUUUUGUAGGAGGGUUGGAUUGAAACUUGGAGAGAGAGAGGGUUUGUAAGAGGGGGUUGAAAGGGAUGAGAGAAGACUGUAUUGAAUUGAAAAUUUUGUUUUGGCUAUUGUGAAGUUAUGAUUACCUUUAUUUCAAACUUGAUUGUUGUUUAUUUUUUAAUAGUUUUGUUUGUUAGAACUAUUAGGAAUUUGUUAUUGAUUUCUUAUGGUUAUUAUGGAGUUAUGGCAACCUCUUCUCUUUAGUGCAAACUUAGUUUUGAAUUUGUUAGAUGAUAGUAGUUUGUUUGGUUAGUUUGUUCUAACUACAGUUAUGGUAGCCUUUGUAGUUUAAACUUAGGUUAAAAGAUUGGGAGGAUUGGAAAUAGCUAUUCAUGAACUAAUUAAAUUUAGGGUUUGAUGGGAGGAAUAUAGGACUAAUGAUCAAACAUAUUAUUUACUUGCGGUACGUAUUUUUGAGCAGUAUCGUUGUUUACGUUGCAUUAUAUAUAUAUCUUUUUUUUUUUUUUUCAUUGUGUAGGUGUGGACUUGUUUAAUUAUGGCAUUCCCAAUUAAGUUAUAUUAAUUUUUUUUAUAUAAUUUUUUAACAAAUUGAGAAGUGUUAGACAAUGUAAUAUUUUUUAAUUACAAUGUAAUUUUGAUUUGGCAUUUUGUAUAUUUAUUUACUAAUUUUGGUUGUUCAUUUUUUUGUAAUUUUAUUGAAUUUAAAUCGAAUUGGAAUUGAACAUAAUAGUGCACAAUCAAAAUAAGAAAUUAAAAAAAAUCCUCAAACCGUUCCCGACGCAAAUAGUGCAUCGGAAAAUAGGUCUUCCCUCCAAAAAUGCAUAAUGACAUCAGAGAUAGUUUUCAUGAUGUAACGUCGGCCAAACUCUUCUCUCGACAUAGAAAUCUACGUCAAGAGAAGAGUUCUCUAUUUCCUGACACGAUUACGUCGUCGGCACAACGUGCCUCGGGUGAAGGGCAUUACCAACGCGUGUUUCUUCUUUCGUCGGGAAUAGAUCUCCUGAUAGGAAUUUUCGACAACCAUUCCUAUGUGGGACAUUACGUCGGGAGACUGUUUGCCGACACAAUUUGUAACCUUACCCGAUGCCAUCUUGCAUCGAAAAACUCCCAACUUGUUGUAACGUAAUGUUGCAUGAGAUUGAAUAAAAAGUUGGCAAAGUAAAUAAAAACUGCUUUCUAUUUUUAAUUUUAAAGAAAAUAGAAAAACACAAAAAUAACAAAUAAUAAAGUAAUAAAAAGAAAAAUGGUAGGAUCCACUAUUCUACAACGUAACUUUUACCAUUUUCUCUUUCUGCACUUCUCCUUUGUUCUUUUCCUUCUUCUUUAUCCUCCCUUUCUUUUCUUCUGCUUCUUUCCUAAACUUCUUGUUUUACCAUCCUUUUGUUAGUAUUACUGUCGUCAAAAUUGGUGCUCCAACACAAAUUCAACAUGCAAGUCUUACACAUCAUUUUGAAACUCCUAUUUUGUCAUGCUUCCAAAUUAAACUUAUUCGUGCUCUCAUUGUUGUCGUCCUUUUUGGUCAAGUUCUCAUCCACAACGUCAAAACAUUUUUCUCACCGUCAAUCGAAUUUAGGGUAAUCAUGGUAUUGAAAACUGUGAUGCUCCAAAAGAAAAAGAAAUGGUAAAAAUGGGAAUUAAAAAUACAAAAGUCUGAAUUUGAUAGAAAAUCACAAACCUUAAACGUUUUUGGCAAAGUACCUAAACUAUUUUGUCAUCCAAUACAAUUUCUCUUUUAAAAACUUGUGUAAACUACCAAGAUAUAAUUAUUAAAAACUCAGGGACGAAACACUCUACUCGUCAAAACAUGGAUACUAAAAAGAUAAUUUUGCUUUAUUUUUCAGGGUUUGUACUAAAGGUUUCUUUUUGUUCUAAUAUAUAUUUUCUUUUUUUAAAAAAAAAACAAUUGAAUAUACAUUUGUAUUAUAUGUUUAAAUGGAACUAAAUCAAUUGAUUUUAACCUGUUCUCUACAAAUUUUAGAAAUAUAAAUUUCUAGUAGUUUUUACAACUGUUUUAUGCCAUUAAAAUUUGAUUAAGCAUUAAAAAACUCAAACACAAAGAACUAAGAGAUCAAAAUAAACAUAAACUUAAGAAACAAGAAAAAAUUAUUAUCAAACAAAGUCCAAUUAAGCACAAUUUGACAUGUGUGCUAAAUCGCCAUGGUUUCUAUUUUUAGAUCUUAAAAAAGCUUAAUAUAAUGUUCAAUAAUUUAAUUUAUUUUCUAAAUAAUGAGAUUAAUUUAAAAAUUAAUUCAAAUAGAGAGAGAGAAGUUGAUGAGACGAGAGAACAAGUCGUUAAUCAUAUACAUACUAAUAACUGUGGUUUGUAAUUAGUUUUUAAUAACAACAAAGAAGAAAAGUUGUGUUAUUUAAUUAAAACUAAUUAAAAGCCACCAGAUAGACGAAUAACCAAAUACAGUGCAGAAUCAUUCUUAAUAUUAUUCUCUGCAAGAGUUUUAUGAUUUUCGAGAACCUUUCCUGCAUAAACAAUAUUUUGACUAUCAGCACGUACUCCAUAUUUAGCUUCUAGUUUAGCCUUCAAACCUUCAAUUGUGGCCGUUGGUUCCAAAUCUAAACUUAAUACUUUCCCAUCGAACGUCUUCACAAAGAUCUGCAUCUGCAUUAUUAUUUUUCAAAUUCACAACACAAAUUAACGUAACUAGGAUCCCAUUUCCUAAUCAAUUUGUCAUUUCAUACUACAGAUCACCAUCAAAGUUGAAAUGGGAUUGUUCCCUUGAAAUGUUAUGAAUUCCAAGUUUUGUUGAUUUUGAUAUGAAGCUUUGAUUAAUUAUUAUUAUUAUUUUACUGGAAGUAGAGAAGUAGCGAGGACGUAUAAUUUUAGUGGAAAUUAUUAUGAGUUUUUGUAUUUAAUGGUCUAUUGUGGAAGAAGACGAUUGAGUGCUUUUUUCAAGAAAAAAGAAAAAUUAACGAAGAAAUGUACAUACACUUCGAUUUUUAUUCUCACCACUUUGGAAAACGAAGUUGUUUAAUUUGGUGUUAAUUAAGAGUCGUUGUUUCUUUGGGUUUCUUUGGGUUGAGUUUCUUCUAAGACGAAGAUUCUCAAACAGCCAUAAAACUCUAAUAAAUUAAUUGAGAAUAAUACUUUUUUUUUUCUUUUAGUUAGUAGUUUGGAUAAUUACAAUAUUCUUAUUAAAAAAUUAAAAUAGAAAAAAUAGAAAAAUUGAACAAAACAUUUACAAAAUUAAAGUGUAAUAGUUUUUCUAAAUGAUGGGUAAUAAUUUGUACUUUUUAUUUUUUUGAAAAAAACUUCAUAUAAAAAAUUAUUAAGAAAAAAUAUGAUAUUUAAUAAAAAGAGAGAUUUGAUUUGAUUUUUUUUGUGCAUAUAAAGAUUAUUUGGAAAAUAGAUUUUUAGGAGAGGAGUUGUCAUAAAUAGAAAAAAAAAUUAAAAAUAUUUCCAAGAUAUAACAAAAAAAAUCUCAAAUGCUCUUUAGAGAAAAAGUUGACAAGAUCAAAAAGUUACAAAAAAGAAGUAGCCAUAAUUUUGAUAGUAAUAAUAAUAAAGAAAACUAAAAUGUGUUAUUUAAUUAAGACUUAAUUAAAAGCCACCACGAGUAAAAAGAAGCAAAAACAAUGCAAGAGUUGGAUGAUCUUGAAGCAUCUGCAUAAACAAGCUUUUGAGAUUCAACACCUAUGUCAUGCUUAGUUUCUAUUUUAGCAUUCAAAUUUAUGCAUUUGUGGCCGUUGAUUCAACAUCUAAAGCUAAUUAUCUUCCUAUCAAAAUGUCGUCACAAAGAUCUACAUCUGCAUUUUUUGAAAAUAAAUUCACAAACACAAAUCAACAUAUCAAGGCUCUAUUUGGUAGUGAUUUGGUUUUUUAGUGUUCAAGAAGAAAUUUGGAGAUGGAAGAGUAAUGGUAUUGAUUAAUUGCUUUUACCAAAAACAAAAUGAUUUUACCAAUUAUGAGCUAAGUUAUUCCCAAUUUUAUGCCUUAUAGAAUCAUCAAAAUUCAAAUGAGAAUGUUUAUACCUUGGGAUGUUAUGAAUUCCAAGUUGUCGAAGGGAUGUUGAUGCAGCUUUAUGAUUUGAUUGAUUUGUAUAUUUGAAUGUAAAGAUUUGAGAACAUUGUAUAUUUAUAGUGGAAAAUACUAUGAGUUUGCAUUAAUGCUUCAUAUGGAUGAAAACGAUGAGUCAUUAAAAAAAAAAACUAAACUUUGAUUUCUAUCCUCAACUCUUGGGAAAAACGAAAAUGUUUGGUGUUAAUGAAAAGUCAUUUCAAUUUUUUUUUCUAGGGAUGAGGAUUCCCAAACAACCAUUAAACUCAAACAAAUUUGUCAAUAAUCAUAUCGAGUUUGGAUAAAUGUAAUAUUAAAAAAUAUAUAUAUAAUAUUUAGGAAAUGAUAAGGGAGAAAAGAUAAAAUGGAUUAACUAUUAAAAAAAAUUGUUUCCCUUCUUCAUUUUCCUUAUUCUAUUUAAGAAUAAUUAUGAACUGAAUAUUUGAGAUAUUAAGAGUCGUACGUUCGAAAAACCAAGAAAACUCAUAUUUCAUCUAUCCUCUUAUAAUCAAUUAGUUUUGAAAUAAAAUUCCAUAUUGUUAAAUUUAACAUAAAGAUAGGUGAACUCAAAGAGGCACUGCUUUGCUACGGAAUCCCAAAAGUUUAAAGUUUAAUUUUAGUAACGAUAAAAAAUAAAUGUUUAUAUGCAAAAUAAUUUAAAAUUUAUACUAACAAUAUUUAUAGUUAGAUCUUAAAUUAUCAUAAAAGACUAUUAAACAUUAUGAAUUAAUUUUAUAAAAAAAUACACAUUUUAAAUCUUUUUUCAGAAAUAUAUUUUAAAAUAAAUUGUACGUUGACUUGAAAUUAUUAAUUUUUUAGUUAAUUGAAACUAAAUAUUUAUUUUAUUUUUUGUCUUAAUUUUUUUAGGAGAAUUUUUAAAAACAGUAGACUUUACAAAAUAUUUACAACCUAUAGCAAAUUAUAUCACUUAUAGUCAUUGAUAUGCAAUAGUGAUAGAAGACUAUUAGUGAUAUUUGUAUUAAUUUUUUUAUGAGAAUUUUUAAAAAUAAUAGAGUUUGCAAAAUAUUUACAACUUAUAGCAUAUUCUAUCACUCGUAGUCAUUGAUAUGCUAUAGUGAUAGAAAACUAUCACUCAUAGGAUCAAAAAUUUUGCUAUAGCUUGUAAAUAUUUUAAUUUAUGUUAGCUAUUUUUAAAAAUAAACCGUAAAUAUAAACAUCUUUGAAUUUGUUCUUAAUUUUCUUUUCUAUCAUCAGGUUUCUUUUAUUCUAAGUAUCUGAAUAUUCUUAUUGAUUUCUGUUUUUGUUAUAUUCAAUCGUUUGAAAUGUGUUGUAAUUGUUCUUUAUGUUCUUGGCAACCAUGGUGAGCUUAGAAGGUAAAGUAUGAUUUUAUUUUAUUUUUGUUUACUUACUGCUUAGUGUGUCUUUGUGGUUUGAAUUUUUUGCAUAUGUUUGUUUGCACACUGCAGCUACAAAAGAGGAGGAAGUUGAAGAAGAUGAUAAAAUGGAUGGUUACCAAAGUAGGAAGUUGAUGACGAUGGGAAGAUAUUUUUAUUUUUAAAAAAUAGAGGAUAUCCUGACGCUAUAUCCCGUGCGUCGGGAUAUCCUCUCUAGACAAAUGUUUUUCGACUUCGAUCCGGCACGAACUUAUGCAUCGAGAAAUCAUUUUCAAAUAUUUUUUCUCUUUCUUCCAACACUUUUGUACGUCGGAAGAUCCUUAUUUUCUUUUCUUGUAGUGUGAAUUGAAAUAAGAAUAAUGUAUAGCUUUGUUUUAAGAGGCAACAGUGAAAAGAAGAUGAUUGUGGAGUUUUGAGAUUGGUUUACUCAUCUCUUUAUUCUCACAAGGAAUUGGUAAGCAAAUCCCGAUUUCCUCCCAAGUUUGCAAUUCUCUCUCAUUUUAUUAUUUUCUAAUGUGACUAUAUAAAUCUACUUGAAAAAAUGCCAAAAGUAAGACAAUUAAUUAGGGGUGUAAAGAGUUUUGAAAUUGCUUUUUGAAAUGUUGAGUUUAAGGACAAAUAUGAGUAUGAAACGUUUAUAUAACCCUUACAUAAAAAACUUAUUUUCUUCUUUUUAUUUUUUUAUUUUUUAAAAUCUUUUUCUGUUUUUAUUUUAUGAAAAAACACAUUUUCUCUCAUCUUUCUCUAACUUAUUUUCUCCCAAAGCUCUCUUACAAUUACUUAGAAUUUUGUGGCUUUAUCUCUUGAAUAAACUCCCUUCUUAUUAAGUGUUUAUGUCAUUUUUUUUCUGAUUAUAGAUAGUCCUCUUAGGUUUUUGAUGUUUCUAACUCAUUUAUUCUCCUCUUACUGAAACAUAUAAAUCUCAAGUAUAACUCAUAGUUAAUUUUAUAAUUGUUCUAGAUAUCUCUAGUUGUUUGAUAUAUAUUUAGAUAAACUUUUUUGGUUAUUUUUUUAUCUUGCAAACAUCUAGCAACUUCCAUAAACUUCAAAUGUUUAAUCCCAAAUCAACUAUAUACUUGUUUCAUGUGAUUUAUGGUGAGUUUACUACACAUGUUUUAAGAAGAUUUUAACUACUAUUUUUGUAUCUUGCAAACAUCUAGCAAACAUCUUUCUUAAAUAUCUCUCUCGCAACUUCCAAACUUCAAAUGUCCAAUUCUAAAACAAUUGUACAUAUACUUUUACACAUCUUUUAGGAAAUUUUUAGCUACCAUUUUUUGUAUCUCACAGACAUCUUGUAAACAUUUCGCAGAUAUCUCGCAAAAUCAUCUCACAACUUCCAAACUUCAAAUGUCUAGUGUCAAAUCAAUUAUAUACUUGUUUUAUGUGAUUAGGGUGAUUCUACAUAUGUGCACUUUUGUUAUUCUUAUAGUUAAUUAUUUUGAUAUAACUAAGAGGAUAUUAUUGAUCAUCACAUUUAUUUCACAAUAUAUACAAUUGAAACAAAAUUCAAUAAAAGCUUAGAUUAUUUUUUUAGGAAACCAACUAGUUAAGAUCAACACCUACAAUUUUUUGUUCUGAACAAAAAAAGACGUUCUUGGUUCUAAUCUCUCCCGUUGAUUGUAUGAAAAAAGAAUGAAUUUCCUAUAAAGUAUAAGAUGUUUGAGAGAGAAAGAAAGAGUUGUUUAGAGGAGUAUAAAAGAACGUAAUUUAACCAAAUUCACAACUAACAUUGUAAUGAUAUCACAUAUAUAGAUAGAUAAUAAAUGUGGGUAUUGGCUUUUAAUAACAAUAAUAAAGAGAUAACAAAAAAAUGUGUUAUUUAAUUAAAACUAAAUCAAAAGCCGCCAUGAGCACGAAAAAUCAAAUACAGUGUAGAAUCAUUCUUAAUUUGAUAAUGUUCAAGAGUCUUAUCAUCUUCAACAGUCUUGCGACCGAAAAUUAGCCUUUGAGAAUAAGAGGCUACUCCAUUAAGAUCUUCAAUUUGAUCCUUCACAUCCACAAUCGUAGCUGUUGGUUCAAUUUCUAAAUUAAAUGUCUCCCCAGCAAACGUCCUUACAAACAUCUGCAAUUGUUAUUAAAAUUUGAACACCGACAAAUUAGUAAAUCAAAUUAAUUCAAAAACUUAAACUUGUAGAUGAAAUUCAAAUGGGUUUACCUUUGAAAUAUUAUGAUACGAUUGAUUUGUGUAGUUUUGUUUGAGUGAUUGAUUUACAAUUGAAAGAGAUGAUAUAUUUAUAGUGGUAAAAGAUAGACAGCGAUAGGUGUUUUUUUCUAGUAAUUAAUUAAUGUUUAUGGAAGAAAACGAUUUGUUUUUAUUUUAUUUUAUUGGGAACUAAUUAACAAAUGUUUAUUUAAGUUCAUAAACGAAAUUGUACAUGACUUUUGGUUUCUCUAACUCUUUGGAAAAUGAAAUUCUUAAUGUGGUGUUAAUUAAGAGUCUAUUGAUUACUACUCUUUUUUGCCAAGGAUUACCAUUUGUAAAAAGUAGUUAACCCAAUACUCUCUAUCAAUACGGCGAUGAUUGGGAAACUUCAAACGAAAAAAGAAAAAGAAAUUAAAAAUUAUCUCACAUUUUAGGCAAUAAGCCUCACCACCUCCCUCUACACAAUCAUACCAAAAACAAUUGCAACUAAACUGAAGUGCACGCUUCCUGGCACCAUCUCUGAAAACCAACUGGCUUUUGUGAAGGAUAAGCAAAUUACUGAUAUCAUUUUAAGGUAUCAGGUGUUACUUCAAAAUUCAAGUUUAGAUGCAUCAAAAUGUCAAAAGAUGUCGAGUAUAUCAAAAGAGUAUCAUGGUUCAUCAAGUGUAUCAAAGUUCAAGGGUUAUCAAAAAGUAGCAAAUGCAUAUCAAGUGUAUGAAGGAAUAUUAUAUGUAUCAAAUGUGUAUUAUGUAUAUUAUGUCAAAUGUAUCAUGGAGUAUUAAGUGUAUCGUAUAUGUAUUAAGUGUACCAAAUGUGUGUUAGUAACGAAUGCAUUUGUGACAUUUUAAAUCUUACAUAUGUAAGUUGAGUUUUGAUUUUGUCAUUUUUACAAAUAACAAAUGUGUGUGCUAUUGACUUAAUUAUAAUUUGUUGUCAUUUUUGCAAUUGCUCCUUUAUAUAUACUAGAUAACUUAAAAUAUGCGUUGAACAUAAAAACCUUGUUAGUAUAUAUUUUUGCUAAAAUGAAUAAAUAGUAUGCAAUGGUAAAUUUUAAAAAAUAGUACUACUGUAUAAAGAUAUACUUAAACGAGUACUUUAUAUACAAUGUUUUUUCUUACAUUUCCAAUAUUUGUAUUCAACCGAAUUUUCAUCAUUUUCAUCGAGAUGCCUUUGAAAAGUGUAACAUAUAAUUGUCGUGUGAGAAGACAUUUUGUGGAAGAUAAAUUCCAACAUGUGGUAUUGUUUGUCCUUGUGCCUUGUUAAAGGUCAUUGCAAAACUAAGGCGUACUGGAAAUUGUUUCCUCUUAAAUUUGAAUGGAUACCCUUCAUCAUUUGCCGGACUUAAAAGUAUAUGCGGUAUGAAGACAUGUUUGCGCCAAUAUGUUGGCCCAUUGCUAUUUCAGCAAAAAUCACAUGUUUUUCAAAGUCUCGACACACCAUUCUUGUCCCACAAAGACCAUUUGAUGGGUCUAAAUUUCUUAGAAGUAUUAUAGGACAAUCUUUAAAAUAAGUUUACGUGGUGGAAGUUCAUUUGGCAAUAAGGAAUUUAGAAAUUCUUGUUGUUAAUCUGAUGAAAAUUGGAGAAAACUCAGGAUUAUAUUCGUAUUGUAAUAAGAAAGGAAAGUAGAAAUUAUUGGUUGUUAAUGACGUCGGCGAUGACAUACAAUGAACUUGGAUAAGAAUGCGGCAAUCGAGGACAUAGGCCAUAGAUAGAGUCCAAGAAAUUCCAAGAACGUGUAGUUAGAAGCUGAAGCGUGGGAUAAAGAAUAUCGAUUUUACUAAAUAAUCAUAAAAAUAAAGAAAAUUCAAAACUUCGAAUUAAAAUCUACUUUAAAAUAUUCAAAGUUUUGAAGACACAAAACAAAGAAAACAUGAUCACUUAAUAGAAAAAAAAGUUUACCUCCACGACUACUUAUUCUAUUUUGGUCUUCCGCGACAGUUAUUUGGUGUCAUAAAAUAUACAAAAAUAAUUUAUUUAAUUUAUUAAAAUAAAAUUUAUUUUAAAUCCAAAGUUUAUUAAAAUCAAAUUUUUUCCUAAUUCUAAAAACAUUAAACAAUUUAUUCAUUAAAAUAAAACAUCUCCAAAACCCUUUCUCUUCUUCUUCUUCUCUUCUUUUUUUUUUCUUCUUCUUGGUGGAAGAUCAACGAGUCGCCCCUCCUUUUAGAUUUUUCCUCCCUUCCGGUAACCAUCUGUCUCCCUCUCUCAUGCACUCUGAAAACGACGAGACUUUUCGUCAAUGACACGCCCGAAAUCCCCCUCUUUCUCUCCUUCAGCCGACGCCACCACCCAACACCCCUUGCAUUGGUGAAUCUCAACUAUUAUUUCUAUUUUAUGUAUUUAUACAGUAUAUUAACUUCAAAUGCUUUUAUUUUACCCUCAAUGUGAUUAAUUGAUGGUUCUAUUUAUGAAAAACAUCCCUCAUAGUUUUGUUUUUAUAGAAGAUGUGUUUGUUUUGUCUACCAUCAUAUUAAAUAUUGUUGUUUAUGUUCAUUUUUCUAAUUUGAAUCUAAUUUUUUUCUUUAUGGUUGGCUAUGUGAUGAAGCAUUCUGGUAGCUUACAAUGUGUUUGAUGAAAUGCCUCAAUGAAGCAUUUGGUUGAUUUUUAAUUGAUUUUUGUUUGUUCUAAUUAGCAAAUCAAGGCCAAGGGAGAUUUCAUGGCUAUGGGCUCAAGCUUUGAGAAAAAGAGAAUGAAAAAUAAAAUGUGAGAUUUUAAACUUUUAUGGUGUAUAGGGUCUUUUUGUUUGUCUAUGAAUUUUCCAAGUGAAUUUAAGUACUCUUGAUUUUUCUAUUGAUAUUUUGUUUAUGGUUGCUAUUCAGUUCUAUUCUAAUUGCAUGAUAUUUAUAGUAUAAACAAACUGUAUAUAUAAACUUGAACACAAGUACUUUUAUCUAACUCAUUACUAAAUUAUUGUAAUUUGGUUACUCUUGAUUUACUAAUGAUUGAAAGAUUAAAAAAAGUUAUGAACAUUUUCACUAUGAUCCUACUCCUCUUAGAUAGAGAGGAGGAUGAUAUUUGUGAGGUAAGACAUUUGCUAUUAAACCUAAAUGCAUCAUUGGAUUCCAUUUUUCAUUGUUAUUAUCUUUGAAAAAGAAGCAUAACCUUCACUCUCUUUUUCUUUUUGUCUAUAUUAUGAUCUUGCAAUCUUGGAAGCAUUAGGGUUUCUUUUAUAAUAUAAAAUUCUUUUAUUUUAUUUGGAUUGAAAUUAUGUCUUGCUUUGAUUGAAGGAUAGAGGAAGUGAUUAUUGAUAAUUAUAGGUAUGUUCUCUCUCCAUUUCUUACAAUAAGGAUAGUAGCAACAAAAAUUACUACAUGUUCUUCUAUAUUAAAAGGAAAGACAAAAAAAAAAAAAAAAAAUCAAAAGGUGGUAAAUUAAGAUUUAUUUUGUAUGGUAGAAUUUUAUUUGCCACUUAUCAUGCUAGAUCUUUCCAAGAGGAGUAAAUUUGAAAAUUUUGAAAUACACCACUGCUUGAAACAUAAAUCGCGGUGUAUGUUAUACACAUUGGAAAUGGAUGUUUAUCCUCUGUAAUGAAAUUUUGUUUAUGAUUUUUUUUGGAUUUAUUAGGAAGUAGAAGUUAAUCUUUUCUUGCAGACAAAAAAAAGAUAUAUCCAAUGGUAAACUAGUUUUUGGAUAUCUCCCAUUUGAAGUUACUUUAAACUUGCAAGAUAAGAGGAGGUGUUUAUGUACUUGCUUAUAACUUCAGUUUCAGUUCCGUGUCUUUACCUUUUUUCUGUUUAUUAAUCCCCUUUUUCACCUUCAAAACCAUAACAUAGCGACACACACGCAGUACCUAAAGUAAAGUUCAAAUAAGUCUAAGCAUGUGUUACCUAUAGUAGUAUAUAAUGUGUUCAAAUAAUUUAUGGCUAAUUAGAGGAAGUUUUUGUAGCAUUGAGGUGAGGUACUAAAUCGAUUAAGGUGAGAGAGAGACAACCGUCAAAGGAGAGAGGGGGGGAGCCAGGAAUGAAAGAAAAAGAGAGAAAUUCACAUGAAUAUUUCCAACAGUUUUUGUGGAAAUUAAACUCCAUAGGAAAGCAUUAUCUAAAUUGGUUUGGUGAUCUCUUUUAGUUGCUUAUUAUAGUUUUACUGUGGAGACCAAAAUUUGAUGUCUUGAAUAAAUAUAAAACGAUUCUCAUUUCUAUUUUGUGAUUAGCUAGUUGAGCUUAUUUCAAUAGUUAUCAAUUAAGAAGUAUGGUUGUUGUUGAAAAAUUAGUCCUUUAACUGUAUGAAACUAUAUUUUCUUCCUAUGACUACCUUAUGACAUUUUGAAUAAUUGAGAAUUGAGGAUUAGCAGAAAGUUCUCUUACUUCAAUAUAUUUGAAUAUGAAUGUGUAAAGCAGAUUUCAUAGUUCUUGUACAUAAAGUAAAGCAACACAGAGGUAAGUUCAUAGUUAUUGUAUCACAUUUAUAUAUAUGUGAUUGGCUUAUAAUUAAAUAAAUAUGAAUGUGUGUAUUUAUUUUUUUUUCUUAGGAAGAGUUCGAUAUUUUUUAAGUAAAAGUUCAUGUUCAUGGAAACCUUUUGUUUGGGGACCUACAACUCGUAGGAAUUGCUGCAAUUCGACCCUCCUAUCAAUAACCCACAAGCUUGUCGAUAUCCAAUGCAUAAUUGUUUGGGAUUCUACCUUGGUAUGUUACUUGUAAUUAUAUUUUUCAUUUUUAAAAAUCUGUAAGUUCAUGUUUGAUAUAAAACUUUGUAUGUAUAUAAUUUGUAUGUGUAUAAAACUUUGUAUGUAUAUAAUUGGUAUGCACAACCAUUUUAUUUUUUGAGAUCUAGAUAAUGUUUUGGAGAUGGUUUUGUUGGUAGAGGAUUGAUUCUAUUGGGCGGUGUUUCAUAAUGUUUUGAGAAGUUCUUUGUAUAUUGUACUGAAUUAUGCCUAGAUAAAUUGAAUUUGAUUAUAGUUUCUGCAAGUUUUACUUCUUGUGGACAUGUAAAAUUAUGCUUAGGUAUUUUAAUGCAUUAUUUUAAAUCUUUGCCUAGAGUUUUUGCUAUGAUUCAAUAUGGAUUGUUGCAAAGGCAGUGGAUAAGUUUCAUUAUUAUGUUAUUGAACUCCAUGAACAGCGAAUGUUGUUAGACUUAUAUUGGAAAGUUUCAAAACUUUAUUUCUCUCUUUUUCAUCGGCUUGCAACCCUUAAUAUGUAAAUUUGAAAAAACAUUUUGUAGGUAGUUUUCUUCAUGUUUUCAUGAUUGGGAAGGUUUGACUGAUAGUGUAGACUAUGCUUGUAGAAUAAAAUUUGUGUUGUAUAUAACUCUUUGGUCGUAUAUAUAUAUAGAGAUAGACAUAUAGAUAUUACUAUAUGAUUGAAUUUAUUUAUACUUACCAUAUGUUCUCAUGUUAAUAUGAAUUUAUGCAUGUAACACUUAAAAUUCUUAUUCAUAUGCAUGCUCUUUCAUUUUUUCUAACUUUUCAUUGGUUGGUGACAAGGAAGAAAAAUAAUGUUCAAGGAUUGAAUCUCUGAAAGGGGACAAAAUAAGUAAAACACCCAAAGAAACAAUAGAACAAAAAAAAAUACAAGAGCCUAAGAAAUAAAUAGAGGAACCAAAAACAACAAACCAAAAAAAAAUCAAGCCUUUGAAAAUUCAAAGACAACAAUGAAGACAAAAGCUUUUUAUUUAUUUAUUUUUAUUUUUAUAAUGAGAGCAAUGUCAUUGACAGAUGAAUAAAAUAAGAGAGAACAAACUCAUUCAAUUGUUUCAAGCUCAGUUAGGUUACAUACUUGCCACAUUAUGAUUUGAGUGCAAAGCAAGAUGAGAAAGUCAACAUGAUAGCAACAAGGCCACAAAACCAACCCAAUGAUGAGUGACUUUUACAACAAGAUCUUGGUGGGUGACUUCAUCAAGAUUGGAAAUCUUUUUCAUAAACACCAACAUUAUAAGAGAUAGAUUACACUAAAAAAGAAUUCUUAUAUAUGUGAUAAUAAGGUAGCUCUUUUGUAACCUUGUCAUGCAUGUAAUGUUAUCGAUGCAUGUAGUGAUAGUUAAGGCUCAAUGUUGAAAUUUUCUAUAGGAGUUGUACUCUCUUUUCCUGUGAUUGAUGCUUAUAUUCAUGUUGUCUUUGUAGAUUCAACCGAAGUCUACAACUUCAUGAGUUUCCUUUCAAAGAAUAUUUUCAGAGAUGAAGGCUUACUAGUUGAUCGUUUAUGCUUGUUGAGAAAAUCUUGUUAUAUGUAUUCUUAUGCUCUUUACAAUGAUUUUGAUUAAGGACUAGAAUUAUGUACUAGUAAAUUGUAGAAACUUGAUUAGAAAUGUAUGAAUAUUACAAAGUGUAUUAUAGCUUAUAUAUGUCGUCAAUAGCGAAACAAUGCCAUUUAAAUUUUCAGAAAAACUGUCAUGAUUGCACUAUAUUUGACUGGAAAUAAUUAUCGUCAAUAUUAAAACAAUGACAUUUUUAUAAGAAAAACUGUCACGAUUGCCCUAUAUUUGACAGGAAAAAAAAUGUCGUCAAUAGCAAAACAAUGACAUUUAAUUUCUAAAAAAAAACUGUCACAAUUGACAUAUUCUUGACAUUUAAAAAAUGUCAUAAUAAACGAAUUUGCGACAUUUUUAAAUUGUUGUUAAUACGCAAAUGAUGACAGUUACUUGUUGUCAUAAUAUAAAAUAUGACAGUUAUUUGUUGUCAUAAAAUAGUAAUUAACGACAUUUAUUUUCUGUCAUUAAAAAACUUAUUGCCAUAGUUUUAGAAAACUGUCCUGGAAUGACUUUCCAUGACUCCGCUUUUAUGACUGUAAAUAACUGUCACGAAUUUUAAUCGUGACAGAAAAUAACUGUCGUCGUAGACCACUUUUCUUGUAGUGGAUAUAUAAGAAAUUAAGAGGUAAUUGACGUUGACUACAAAACAUAAAAAAUACUAAUUAACAGCCACAUAAUCGAAGGGAAGCAAGAAUAGUAGAACCAUCUGUUAUGUUAUAGUCUGAUAGACUUAGACUUCUUCCAUCUUCAAGCAUCUUUCCAGCAUAAAUGAAUCUGAUAUUGCUUGGAAGAUAUCCUUCCUUUUCAUAGAGUUUAACUUUCAAUCCGUCAGUUCUGAUGAAAAUGGAAACCUUGAUUGCUAUUGUAUUGCCGUUCGUUAAUUUCACGAAGAUUUCAGUUGGCUCUGGCCAAAGCUUUCUCCUCAACCACCUGCUUCGUAAGUUUGCAUUCAUAGCAAUAAACAUUUCGGCAUUCUUUCCCUUCUCAAGAAAAUCAAAGACUUCAAAAAGAAGGUCUUCGUCAGAUGCCGGAUAAUGCUUGCACAGCUUCAAUGGCUGCUAAUAUAGUUGGCAUAUCGACAUUAUUGUUCGAUGAAGUAUAUUGAUCAGUUGCCAUGACUUAAUCUUCUUCUUCAAUUCCACUUUUUAGUAUUCUUUUAUUUGUUUAAAAUUUAUGAGAGAGGAAGGGUUAGGAAAGAGGAUGUAAGAGAUAUGAUAUAUAAAGAGGAAAGAGAGAGUGGGAAGAUGAGGGGUCAAAGAA